rnacentral:lncRNA from 1 species
CAAUGUCAUCAGCUGGUUCUAUUUUUUAAGGUAACAAAAUAUCAUAGCACAAUUUAGAUGAUGAUCCGAAGAAAUAAAGAUGGUCAAAACAUGGAUGAAGUUCCCACAGAGAGAAAAAAAGAUGUCAAACCGGCUAUAACAAAACAAAAAUCAUGUUUCCCUCACAAUAUAUUGCAACAUCCUUUUCAACUAAAUCAAAUUGGAACCUAAAAUUAUAGAAUUUGGUAGUGCCCGCGCGGUUCUAAGAAAUCCGUAGCUCAUGGUGUAACCACAAUCCUCCCGGCAACAUGGUCAAGAUCGCAUUGACCGCUAGAUGUGAUUCUCCUCCCUCUGUCACAAGUUCAAAGUUCAAACCAAAGGUCAAAAUUCAAGCAAAUGUUGCUAAACACAAAGCUUACGUCGAAACCCAGUUUAUAGAUGAUAUAUAAAGGAAGCACUCACCCCUUUGGGUCAACAUCAACGAUGUUCAUUUUCUGUAACUGUUGGAGAAUGUGUCGGGCAAUAGCACCACUGCUCUCGCAGAAAUGUGGUGGACGACUACCAUUCCUCUGGCUUCCACCAUAAAUCCUGCGGAAGGCACCAACACCGAGUCCUCCCCUCAAGUAGAUCUUCCUUGCCAUCGAGGCUGCACGUUAUUGAAAGUCACAUUGUCAAUACCACAAACAACAACACAUUUGAGAAACAUACACAAAUAAGUACAAUGACAAUCAAAAGCAAAAGAAUGCUCACCAGCUCUGACAUAGUACCAGUCAGGAUCAUAAGGAGCCAACUCCUUGAAUCUUGUGGUCUUAACGAUAUAAGUCCAUGGAGGAAGCUCAACCUGCUCACAAACAUCAAAAGAACAAGCAAAUCGCAAAGAAUUACAGAAAAUCGCAGAUAAGUACACACUCGAAAUAAGCAAAUCACAGAAAAUUACACCUCCAAAAAAUUUGAAAAUCCUAAAUGAACUUAAUGAUAAACCUACAUUUCCUCCAGGUCAGCACACCACUCCAUGUCAGCAAUCCAUGCAGUUCGAACUACCUGAGUCAUGUGUUGCUAAGCCAUGUGCUGCUGACUUGAAAUGAUUAUUCUAAAUGGAAGCCAUGAAUCCUUGUCGAAGAUGCUGAUGAAGAUGGACAGAAGAAUAUUGUAUAAACUCACACAGCUAGACAAACACUUUCUGGUAGUUGUUUAUUGCAUGCGUGGCUUUUAUUAUUGCAUGCGUGUAUGUAAAUCUUGUAUAAAGAACAUGCUGCUGUUGAAGAGCAGCAAGGACUGAAUUCAAUUGAGUUGAGUUUAUGAAAUCAGUCUCUAUAAACCUAGUUUAAAUUCUAUCAUGGUAUCAAAGAGCUGAAAGUCUCACGACACAACCAUUUCUUUUUCCCAUGGCUUCUCAAUCUACUUCUCUUACCCUCCCAAAUGCUUCCCAUUUUCUCACCAUCAAACUUGAUCGUACCAACUACCCCAUUUGGCAAGCUCAAAUGCUUCCACUUCUUCGUAGCCGAAACCUUGUUUCCUUUAUCGAUGGAACCAGUCCAUGUCCUUCUGCAUUCUUGAAAGAUGCGGAUGGUAACCUCACUGACGCAGUCAAUCCUGCGUUUGACAUCUGGGUUCAACAAGAUGCCACAGUCCUGUCGUGGAUCAACUCCUCCGUUCACCCCACUAUUCUUGCUGCCUUAAUUGGGAAAACUAGCUCCCAUUCUGCCUAGACGACCUUACGUGACCGCUAUGCUUCGCAGUCCACCGGUCGUCUCCUUCAGCUUCGUAGUGAGCUGAUGAAUACUCAUCGAGGUGACUCUUCCAUUUCUGAAUUCUUGGAUAAGAUUAAUUGUCUUGCAGAUACUCUCUCUCUCUGGUGCUCCCGUUUCAGAUUCGGACAUCGUUGCCAUCAUUCUUAAUAAUGUUGGUCCUGCUUAUGAAAGCACGGUUGCCUCCGCCCAAGCCCGUGACGAGGCGAUUACGUACAGUGCUUUGGAAGCACUCCUUCUUGGUGCUGAACGCCGCCAGAAAAUGCAUUCUGCUUUCACUACAGAUACCGGCCCUACUGCAUUUGCAGCCACCCGUAAUGGUGGUCGUCCAUCUCCUCCCUUUAGAGGCCGUGGCUCCUCCUCCGGGUUUCGAGGUCGUGGCAAUGGCGGUCGUAGCUCCUUUUCCCUUCACGGAUCAUCCCAUGGCUCUCCAUCUCGCCAACCUGAUGACCUCCUUGGUCUUGCUCCCUCUCAGACCUCCUUUCCUAAUGGCAGGCUUCAAUGCCAAAUUUGUACUCGCUAUGGCCAUUCCGCAAUUGACUGCUACAACCGUCUUAACAUGUCCUAUGAAGGGCGCGUUCCAGCAUCAAAGCUUCAAGCUUAUGCUGCCAGUGCUCCCACCAUCCAAAAUUGGCUUUUCGAUUCUGGAGCCAAUGCCCACAUAACCAAUGAUCCUGCUCAGGUGACAAAUGCUCGACCAUAUCAUGGUACUGAUCAAGUGAAUGGCGUCGUUGGAUGAAUAGGUUUAAAAAUCUCUCAUGUUGGUAACACUUGCAUUCGUACACCCCAAGCCCUUUUUCAUCUCCCACACACAUUACUUUGCCCUAAUGCAUCCACUAAAAUCAUUUCCAUUCAUCGCUUCACCACUGAUAAUAAUUGUUCUCUAACUUUAUUCCCACACGCCUAUCGUGUUCAGGACCUUCACACGGGGAAGAUGCUUUUCCACGGCCGGAGUAACAAUGGAUUCUACCCCUUCUCAACAGUUUCAUCAUGCACUAAAGGAGUAUCUGCAUUCAUAGGUGCUAGGGUGUCCAAUUCCAUUUGGCACUCUAGAUUAGGUCAUCCAUCUUUUCAUGUUUUGAAAAGUUUAAUUUCUAGCAAUAAGUUGCCUAUCAAUGGCGUUGUAACAAGAGCAUUUUGUCAGUCUUGCCCUCUGGGCAAAAGUCACAAGUUACCUUUUCGUUUAUCUAAUUCAAAAUCGUCAUUUCCUUUGCAAUUGGUCCAUUCAGAUGUAUGGACUUCUCCUACUGUUUCAAUUAAUGGAUUUAAAUACUAUGUGGUUUUUAUCGAUGAUUUCUCUCGAUAUUCUUGGUUGUAUCCAUUAAAAUUCAAAUCUGAUGUCUUUUCUACAUUUGUUGCUUUCAAGAAAUUAGUUGAAAAUAUGUUUAAUACCACCAUUAAAUCUUUUCAAACUGACGGGGGAGGUGAGUAUCUUAGUAACAAUUUCAAAGCUUUCUUGACUCAUCAUGGUAUUCAUCAUCGCUUAUCUUGCCCACAUCAUCCCGAACAAAAUGGAAUUUCAGAGCGUAAACAUCGCCAUCUUGUUGAAACUGGCCUCACUCUUCUUGCCCAUUCCUCAUUGCCCACAUCCUUUUGGGAUGAUGCAUUUCAUACCGCCAAUUAUUUGAUAAAUCGUUUACCCACUAAGGUUUACAUAAUGACUCUCCCUUUCAAAAACUCUUUCACAAAUCUCCUCAAUAUGAUUUCCUAAAGGUUUUUGGGUGUGCAGGUUUUCCAUAUUUUCGACCAUAUAAUAGUAAUAAACUUCAGUUUCGUUCCAAACGUUGUGUUUUUCUUGGCUACUCUUUAAAUCACCAAGGUUAUAGAUGUCUUGACAUGUCUACAGGAAAAUUUUUUGUGUCUCGUCAUGUUGUAUUUGAUGAAACUUGUUUCCCAUAUAAAGAAUCCAUUACUCCCGUGUCUCCAUCACCAACCAUUUCCACCGACACUAUGAGAUUAGACAUAGGUCCAUCCCUCCCAUACGGCCCACAGUCACCUCCCAUCCCUCCUAACCCUACUCCACCACCUUUACCCUCAACCGUCACUCCCACGCCUACCCCUCCCUUAAUAUUACCUAUCCCUACUCCUCCUAUAUCUACUCCUCUAGGACCCACGAAUGCAAGUCACAUUCCUUCUACAUCCUCUUCUUCUCAGAGGAUCCUUCCACCUACUCAUUCUAUGACCACACGUGCCAAGGAUGGGAUUCACAAACCUAAUCCCAAAUAUGCAUUUACUUCUACUGUCACUAAUCCUGUGCUUGAGCCUACUUGUUUUACCCAGGCUAACAAAUCUCCAGAAUGGCGCCAGGCCAUGGCAGAAGAGUUUAAUGCCCUCUUACGCACUGAAACAUGGUCAUUAGUUCCCUUUGUUCCCUCUAUGAAUGUGUUUCCCAAUAAAUGGGUAUAUCGGAUUAAACGACAUUCUGAUGGUUCAAUACAGCGGUAUAAGGCUCGAUUAGUCGCCAAUGGCUAUCACCAACAAGAUGGUAUUGAUUAUGACGAGACGUUCAGUCCGGUAGUUACUCAUGCAACCAUUCGCCUCGUCCUCUCAGUUGCUCUUCACUUCAACUGGCCUAUCAGACAACUUGAUGUUCAGAAUGCUUUCUUACAUGGUUCUUUAGCAGAGGUUGUUUAUAUGCGGCAGCCUGUAGGAUUUGUGGACUCUCAGUUUCCAAAUCAUGUUUGUCGCUUGCACAAAUCACUAUAUGGUCUCAAACAGGCACCCCGUGCCUGGUUUCAAUGUUUCUCCCACCAUCUUGAAGAUCUAGGGUUUCAGGCAUCCCUCACAGAUUCGUCGUUGUUCACAUAUUUUAAUAGGUCCACUGUCAUUUACUUAUUGAUCUACGUUGAUGACAUCCUUGUUACGGGUAAUAACCCUUCUCAUAUCUCUCAGCUUAUUCAACAACUUGGUCAAAAGUUCUCCAUGAAGGACUUAGGUCCUUUGCAUUAUUUUUUGGGCAUGGAAGUUCAGCGGACACCCACUGCCAUGUAUCUUACUCAAUCCAAGUACAUCCUGGACCUUCUCAAAAAGACAAAUAUGUGUGAUGCAAAACCUCUCACCACUCCCGCUACCACUGGACGCAAGUUAAGUCUCUAUGAAGGUGAACCUUUAUCUGAUGGCACACUUUUUCGAAGUAUCGUUGGCGCUCUCCAAUACCUUCUCUUCACGAGACCGGAUAUUGCUUUCGCCGUCAAUCAGGUCUGUCAAUAUAUGCAUUCUCCCACCACUACUCACUGGGCUGCUGUAAAACGCAUACUUCGAUACUUGAAAGCCACUCCUGAUCACGGCAUUGUUUAUAAACCUAGCUCUCUCACCCUCACUGCCUUUGCUGAUGCCGAUUAUGCCGAGGAUCCUGACGAUCGGCGCUCAACUGGGGGCUAUUGCAUUUUUCUGGGUGAUAAUCUCGUCUCUUGGAGCUCCAAGAAACAGCGCGGGGUGUCUCAAUCCAGCACUAAGGCCGAGUACAGACAGCUGGCUUAUACGGCAGCCACUUUAUCUUGGUUCCGCCAUAUCUUUCGUGACCUGCACCUUUCUCUUUCUCCACCACGGUUGUGGUGCGACAAUAUCAGUGCCCUUGCUGUUGCCUCUAAUCCUGUAUAUCAGGCGCGAAUGCGACACGUUGAAGUUGACUACCACUACGUUCGCGAAAAGGUCGUCCGCAAAGAACUACAAGUUGGCUAUGUUGCCACUGCUGAUCAAAUUGCAGACUUUCUCACCAAAGGUCUGUCCUCUCCUCGUUUCCGUUAUCUACUAUCCAAGCUUCCCGUGCGUCACGCCCGCUUCGCUUGCAGGGGCGUGAUAAACCUACAUUUCCUCCAAGUCAGCACACCACUCCAUGUCAGCGAUCCAUGCAGUUCGAACUACCUGAGUCAUGUGCUGCUAAGCCAUGUGUUGCUGACUUGAAAUGAUUAUUCUAAAUGGAAGCCAUGAAACCUUGUCGAAGAUGCUGAAGAAGAUGGACAGAAGAAUAUUGUAUAAACUCACACAGCUAGACAAACACUUUCUAGUAGUUGUUUAUUGCAUGCGUGGCUUUUAUUAUUGCAUGCGUGUAUGUAAAUCUUGUAUAAAGAACAUGCUGCUGUUGAAGAGCAGCAAGGACUGAAUUCAAUUGAGUUGAGUUUAUGAAAUCAGUCUCUAUAAACCUAGUUUAAAUUCUAUCACUUAACUGAACCAAAACUCAACAACUGUAAGUAAAAUGAACACAGCAGCUUCCUAUAGAACACAACAAAAAUCAUCCAGAACAGCAUAAUCUACCACGAGAUCUUAUUACUUCAAAAAGAUUUGUACAUUACGAAACUGUUAGUUUAUAACACAGUGACCACCAAAUCAAAAAAUUAUUUGGAGAUUGAAAAUGAUUGACUAACUUAGGUUAGGUUGUAUUCUGGUUCGAAUUUCAGAGCUCUGAAUCUUCUAGCACAGUGGGAGGAACGAGAUGGAAGAUGAAGCUGCAACAGAGAGCCACUAGUGCUAAGCCAUUCAAGCUAAGAACAGAGGUUAAUUGUGCUGAAAAUGGAUGGUAUCAAAAAGUGCUCGAAAGUUUACUUGCAUUCGCAUUGCUUCUAACUUUGUUUGGUGAUCACAAUGCAGGAAAGGGGAAGACAAAAGGAGGAAGAGUUCGUGAAGAAGUUACAAGAGAUGAUGAUGGAGGAGAAGAGGCAGCGGAUACCAAUUGCUCAGGGCCUCCCAUGGACAACUGACGAACCAGAGGUAUAGAUACAAAUUCGGUGUUCGAAAUCACAUGAAGAUGACUAUAUUUAAGUGAUUUAUUGCUAUUGCAAGAAAGACAAGACUGAACCACUAACUUGCAUGCAUACCUUUGGUGUUUGUCAUCUCAGUGCUUGCUGAAACCUCCGGUAAAAGAAAUUACAAUACCAACCGACCUGAAGCUCCACAGUGACAUGCGGGCAGUAGAGCGAGCUGAGUUUGACCAUCAGGUGAUUUCAAAUUCUUGAGCAUUGAGAAUAUGCGCUUGUCUUUAUAUGUUCAAUCAUUCUGCUCAGUAGUGCAUGCAAACUAUGUGUGUGGCAAAGUUGUUUUAUCGGUGCCUUUAGGAACACUUCUAAAUUUAAGGACUCCAUGAAGUUACUCUUAGUACAUAAGAAAUGACUACAAUGUCACUUUGGAGAUAUAUAUGACAAAUGACUUGUAUGGAUGAUGUCGGUUGGUAUGCUGGGCAUGUGAUUAUAUUUCAAGAGACUCGAUAACAAAUUCCUUUUGUGAAAUUGGUUUUGUUUUUGUGUGCACUAUCAGGUGGCAGAGAAGAUGAGCCUGUUUGAGCAAUACAAGAUGGAAAGAGAGAGACUGCAGAAGGUAAAGAGUUAUUGCACUUGAUGAGCUUUCUAUUAUCAUAGUUAUUCUCGACCUGAAAUAUGAGUUUUGUUAUUGUUUUUUCUCUUGCAGUUGGCAGAAGAGGAGGAAAUAAGAAGAUUGAGAAAGGAGCUUGUCCCAAAAGCACAGCCGAUGCCCUACUUUGACAGGCCUUUCAUUCCCAGAAGGUAACACUUCAUUGAUCUGAUUGUAAACCGAUCAUACAUAGACCCUUUCUCCUCUUGAAGUUUCUUGCAUGUCAAGAUAAAACAAUAUCAUGAUUGGAAUACUCUCAUUUUGGAAUGACAAGGGUGAUUCAAAAAUCGUUUUCGUAAUAUGCAGAAAAAGAAAGUGCAGAUAAUUUUUGGAAUCCAUCCCUGCAAAGCGGGUCGAUAAAAUCUCUUAUAAAGUUACACUGAUUUACACUGAUUCUGGCUUUGUAGGAUUUACAGUUAUCAUGUAAUCUGUGGUUCUUUAACUUUCUGCUUUGAAGUUUUAAGGGAGACUAAAUAUGGUUUCAGUUCCUCCAACAGCGUAGUCUAUCCCGUCAAAUGUUCUAUAUUGAGCCAGACAUAUUCUGAUAUUCAUUGUAUUUAUAAGUAGGACGUAAUACAGUUUUCUGACGUCGUGCUUACGUUUCUUCGUUGUUAGGUCAAUGAAGCAUCCAACUAUACCGAAAGAACCGAAGUUUCAUGUGCCUCAAAACAAGAAGAUCAAGUGCUGCUUGUCAUGGAACGAUAUGAGCUCCUACACUUACGAACAUUGAAGCCUGAAGAAGAAGACGAGAAAGAACCCUUAAUCUGUUUCUCCUUAGCCUUGUUCAUUCCCCCUUUCGUAUUAGUGACCGUUAAUCAUGUCUUUUAAAUUUUUAAUCCUGUAUAUGAUUUGUAAGCAACUAGUUUAGUUGUGAUUUUUCCACCAUUAAUUUGUUUCUUUGAAAGAUCUUUUUUAAGAGGUACAAAGAUAAUCUUAUGGUGCGACAAUCAUUCUUUUCAAAUGAAAUUUAGGGGGGUGUAUUCAAUUGGGAUUUUAAGGGAUUUUAAUUCUUUUAAUGAAUCUAGGGGGUAUUCAAUCAGGAAUUCAAGUGAUUCUCUAAAAUUUUAGGUGUAUUCAAUUAGAAUUUUAAGAUAGUUUUUUAAAAUCCUUAGAAAUCUGGAUGUAUUCAAUUAGAAUUUUUAAAAAGUUUAUAACAUUCCAGGUGUAUUCAAUUAGAAAUUGAUUUUAAAGAAUUUGAGAAAGUUGAGGAAUUAGAGGGAAUUGGAGAGAUUUCGUAGUGUAUUUUAAGUAUCCAUAAAUCUCACCUCUUGCCAUGAGAUUUCAAGGGAAUUGAAUCAAAAUUUUAUAUGGAAUCUCUACAAAUCAAUUAAACUCCAUAAAAAUCUAUGGAUUUAUAAAUCCAUUAAAAUCUCUCACAUUCUCAACUAUCAAGAUUCGGAAUAAACCAAUUUGAUCUCUCUUAGUCUUAGAUGAUGAAAAUUUCAUACAUUUGUAAUAAAAGUAUUUAUGCAUUUAUUUUCAAAAAAGAAACAAACUCACAAAGUAUUUAUGUAUUUACUUGGAAAAGGAGGAAAUUAUAAUUAGAGUAUUGAGAAUCUAUGAGGAUCAAAUGCAUAUUAGCCACAAAAAUUAAUUUACAUUUAAAGGCUUAAAAUAUUUGACAAUUUAAUAAAGCAAAAUCAACUUAAAAUCCAUAAGCCAUUUAAAAACUCAAUUUCUUGUUUUGCUUUAUAAAAUUGUCAAAUAUUUUAAGCAUUUAGAUAUAAAAUAAUUUAAUCUUGUAACUAAUGUACUAAAUUGUACAGAGUUUUGAUAACCCCCAAGGACCCGGUAAACCUUUAUGUGUAUCAUGUCCAAGGGGAUGUAAGAGGGUUUUUGCUCCCCGGGCUGAGGGUUCUCCGUCUUCAAUCGUUGGAAGAGCAAACUUUCUCUUAAGUGAGUGCAGGCACAUUUCGCUUAGCAAUGACCCUAUAUCGUAUAUUCGAAAAUGUUGUAGAUAUUCCUUUGGGAAUGGAUUUAUACAAAGUAAAGAUAUAGGAGGAUCUCCAGGUCUCAAUACUGAUAGGCUUCCGCUUAACGGGGAAAAAUCAUUGUUGUGUCAAACCUCACACAUAGAUUGCAAUGUGAAAAAUAAAAUGCAGUUGACUUCUCAGCUGGCUGGAUUUAUGGCAAUGCUACUGACUGAUGUACCUAGUCAGGCCCAGUGGAUUGUUGAAUUGACAAAAUAUGAUUUUGGAGGUGCAACUGGACAUUUAGUCGCUUCUGUUCCUGGAGUUCAUUCUUAUAAAACUCCCUUUAUGUUGGAUUCCAGGCACUUCGGGCUUGUAAGUGCUUUCAUUUGUGAUGUGUGCAGUCCAACAUCUACAUAUAUAAUUUUUUUUAUUUAUUUUUUGAAUAGGAAAGCUGAUCUCCAAAUGUCAACACCACCUUAACAUUUUCUUAUCCAGAACUAUAGACAUUUGUCUUUUUAUUGAAUUAUUCUCUUUGAAUGUGACCCAGAAACUCAGUUGAUCCAUGGCAUUAGGUAGUAAUAUGUUUCAGUGUUUUUCUUGUAAGUCAAACUUCCACCUCUCCUCCCUAAAGUGAUUGCAAGCUCCUUUCUGUGAUUUUCAUUUUGCCUAUGUCCAAGUAAUGAGUUUUACAUAAUUUAUUUUACCGUAUGGGCAGGGAAUUCAUUAAAUGCCCACCUUUCAAACAUACAAAAAAGUCCUAAAUAGGAUUUAGCUCAAUUUUGGUGGUUGCAUUUUAUCAGUAUCAAUAGGGAAGACUUCAGAUGUUUUUUUUCAGUGACUGCUUGGUCAAACUAGGUUUCUAAUUCUGUCGCUAAUUUUUAUGUCAGGCUGAUCAUGGUGUGUCAUCUGGUGCGAAAUUCCUUGGAUCUGUUGAAGAAGCUACCUCUUUUGCAAUGCCAAAGACUCAAAUGGUGCAAAGCUUAAGAAAUUGGCUUCAUUCCUGAGGAAAUCAUGUGAACAUGCAAAACCUUUAUCAAUUGUUUUAACAAGAAACACAAAUGUUCCUGCAGAAGCAAAUGCAGUGAAUAUUCUUGUUCCUGACUCCAAUGAGGGAGGUAAAUUCACAUUGCUUUAAAAAAACAGUCACUUAUAAAUUUAUUUUUAUGUACUUUUGGUAUCAGGUGUUGUUUGCAUAAUAUAAUUAUAAAAUUGUAUGAAUGGGGAUUGUUUCUCUUUUAUUGCAUGCAGAAUGAUUGUUCUAUUUGUCUAUCGUGAAUCCUCUAAAUGUGUGAAUGUGGUUAAGUUGUGACCCUUCAUGCUGUCGGUUACCUAAGUAGAGUAACUUCUUUGUUUGUUGUAGCUGACUCUGUUCAACUUGGCUUCUUGCCAAGAAAUGUUGCAAAAUGGGUCACUCCACUGUGGGAUAUCGGACUCGUCAGCUUCUCUGGUUAUAUCUGUCCUAAAGAAGCUCUUGCAGCAGCUUUAGGAGGAGGAAACAACAAGAAAGUGCAAUUGAUACUGCAUGUGUCACAGGUAUUCUAUUCUGCAUUAUUUAUGCUUUGUGGAGUCAUGAACUGGAGCUUACUCUAAAUGGUAGCACGAAGUCUUGGAUUUGGAAUGGGCAUUUGUUAUAAACAUAAUGCUGCUUUUUGCAGGGACCCAAGUUUGAGGAUAUAUCAAAGAUCAUGGAAUCUCAACAUAUUUUUGCAUUAUGCUCUCUGAUUGGUGCCGUUCAAAGGUGUACAGGCCUCUGGCGACUGCAGGAGGUAAUGGCUCUGAUAUUCUUAGUUGUCAAAUUUCUGAAUAGUUUAUACUUCCUUGAUUAAGUGUUUAUAUGCAAUGGAUGCUGUUCAGUGACUUCCUAGUUUAUGUUGUUGUUGCAGUAUCUUAUGCAGUAUUUUCUCUUUAUCAGGUUUUAGGUCAGUAUAAAUGGCCCGAAUCACUUGACUCUGAUUUUGUUUAUGGUGAGUGUAUCUUAUCUUAUCUUGAACAAUCUUAAUCUAUUUUAGAAUUUGGAAGAUAUAUAUCAUUAACAAAAAGAGAAACUCCAAAGACAUGUUAUCUAUACUCUUAAAAGUGGGGCUGUUGGAGUGCUAGUCAAGAAUCAAAAAGUCCAUCCAUUAAAAUUGUUUUUCCAACCAUAAAAAGAGUGAAGAAUGCAUGCAAUGGAAUCUUUCCUUCAAAACGCAUUCUUUGCUUCUCUGAGGUAUGUGAUCUUUCAGCUUCUUGCAAUAUCGGUUUUAUCUUAUAUUUCCGGAUUAUUAUCUGCAUUGGUUUAGCACUAUUUGUAUUCAAGUUUAAAAAGUUAUUGUGAAUCCGUAACUGUAGGUUAGGAAUUUUUUCUUUUUUCAGUGAUAAGGUUUAGCCCUUACAUCUUACUAUUUGUUGACAAUGUACAAUUUUUUUAUUUCCUUAGAAAACAUGGCAAAGGCUGAGGACUAUAGACAUACUUCAUGAUGCACUUCCUCACCCCUACGAUAGAGUAGGACAUCCAAUGCACAGCAAGGUAUGAAUUUAUCGCAAGAGGCAUCUGGCAUCUUGUCUUACACUGCCAUAUGGAUAAUAUUGUAGCAUCUUAUCUGCAUUACAUUUCUAAUAUAUGCAGGUGGCACGGAGACGCUUCCACUCAAAGACAGACGGAUCUUCAUUUGGUUGGGUUUAUUGUGGUUCCCAUAAUUUCAGUGCAGCGGCCUGGGGACGACCAAUCAAUAGUCCAUUUGGUUUAAACAUGAACGGACUAGGGAAGGCCAACUCUACUUUGGGUCAGAUGCUUCGUAUUUGCAACUAUGAACUUGGGAUCAUUUUCACCUUUCCCCCAACAGACACAGAUGGUAGCGCCAACAAAAAUAGCGCAAAAUUGGAUAAUAUUGUUUUGCCAUUCGUUGUGCCUGCUCCAAAAUACAGGCGAGGAGACAGGCCAGCAACAGGGAAGGCUAUGAGGGAGGCAUUAGCCGAACUUACUGAACAAGAGAGACAAAGACUUUUAGAAGAAGCUACAACCGAGGAAAUUAUGGAAGAGACUCCAGACGAAGAUGAAGUAGUUGAGGCGGAUGAUUAUGUUGCAGAAGAGAAGGAGGAGGAGAAGGCUUACGCCGAGAUACUUUGGAGCCAAGUAGAUUCAUCCGAGAGCAGUUGAAUCUCUAUUUGGAGUGAAAUGCAAUCACCCGGAGCAGAAAGAGUUAAGCACCGCAGCUGCUUAUUUAUGCAAGAAAUCCUGCCAUGCAUCUCUCAUUAAGACAUGCAUGUUGGAGUUUUAAUAUAGCCGCAAACAUAGAUUACGAACAUGCAUCAAAUACUGUGAUUGUAGUUCUGACCUUGUGAAGCCAUUGAUCGCAGGGAAGAAAAGGAAAUCUUCUACUCAAGGAGGACCUGAUGUUCUUUCUAGAAUAGGGCUAGAUUUUCUGAUAUAUGAACGUGUUCCUCUUGAGCAGGGACUUAUCCUUUUAUAAACGUGUAACCACAACCGUUUCCACCUAUCACAGAAACUGCUUGGCAAAACUGCACGCUCAUUUACAUUUCAACGUGGGAUAUCCACUCACCAACACGUUUAACCCUUAAUGUCCUACUUUAAAGGAAAGAAGUUUAUUUACCUAUUAACUCUAACUGUUCUCAGUUUUCACUAAACACAAAACCCGAAUGAGAUAAGUUUAGAGUCCAAUAAGGUUCCAACAUUCUCCCACUUGGACCUAAACUCAUCGUCUUUGUUUUGAGCAAUGUUUCUACUGACAACAGUUCCUUAGUGAUCACAUGAGUUAAUAAAUAAAUAAACACAUCCUCACACAUCCACCAUGAAUGACUCAAGUCAUAGAACUUCAGAAAAGUUUGCACAAAAUGGUGCAGCCACUCUGAAAUCACUAUAACAUUCAAUUAUUCACGUAUGAUGCUUAAACAUGUUAGCUAUAAGAGAGCUUUACUGUAUGCUCCCACUAUUUUUCCCAUUACCUUAACGUUGCCUUAGUUAGCAAUAAUCCAACUUCAACUUUUCUGCAUGCUGAAAAAGUAGGAUCAAAUAGCCACCUGAAAAGCUUUUAAAACAAUCAAGCUUUAAUGCAGAAAUAUCACUUAUAUGAUCAUAGCUUUUCAGCCAAGUCUCAUUAAUGAUUACCAGCUCAAAUCAAAAGCAGUACAUGAAAUAAAUUUAGAAUUCAUCUAUUGCAAUAAACAACUUCAAAGCAAAUAAGACAAGACUAAGUUUUACUCCCACUUAGUCACGGAAUCAAAAGACUCCAGUACCCCCAUUUUUGCAACAUGCUGCUUGAACACUGCAACUGGUAAUGGUUUGGUGAGGGGAUCUGCUAUCAUCAAACCAGUGUCAAUAUGCUCAAUUACCACCAAACCACUUUUGACAUCCUCUCUGACAGAUCGAUAUUUGAUGUCCAUCAGUCUAUUUGCAGAAGACUGCUUGUUGUUCUUAGAGAUGAAUACAGCAGCUUUGUUAUCGCAGUGUAUAACAAUUGGUCUUGAAAUACUGUCCACGAUUCCCAUUAGACUGACCAAAAUCCUUGAUCCACAGUGCUUUCUGUUUGGCUUCAAAAACAGCAAUAUAUUCAGCUUGCAUGGUCGAUGUCGCAAGCGUCUUCUGUUUUGCACUUCUCCACGAGAUUGCUCCUCCAGCUAUGAAGAACAGAUAACCACUUGUGGACCUUCUGUCAUCUGUGCAGCCUGCAAAAUCCGAAUCAGAGUACCCUACCACCUCUAGGUUUUCACUCUUUCCAUACACAAGCAUGUGUGAUUUUGUUCUUUGCAAAUAUCUCAUUACCUUCUUAGCUGCCACCCAAUGUUGUUCUCCAGGAUUUGAUUGAUACCUCCCAAGUACACUAAUUGAGUAAGCUAAGUCAGGUCUUGUACAAACCUGAGCAUACAUCAAGCUUCCUACCAAUGAAGCAUAGGGUUUGUUCAACAUGGUUUUCCUCUCCAAGUCAUUUUUGGGACAUUGCUCCUUGUUCAGUUUGUCACCUUUGCUCAUUGGGACUUCUCCUCCUGAACAUCCUUCCAUGUUGAAACGUUUUAAUAUUUUCUCAAUGUAUGACCUUUGCGAAAUCCCUAGCAAGUUUCUUGACCUGUCUCUUUUAAUCUCUAUGCCGAGAACAAAAGAGGCCUCUCCCAAGUCUUUCAUAUCGAAGGUAUUGGACAACAACAACUUGGUUUCAAGCAACAGGUUCAAAUCAUUGCUUGCAAGAAGUAUAUCAUCAACAUAAAGUAUAAGGAAAAUGAACUUGGAACCAAUGCUUUUGAAAUAAAUGCAAUCAUCAACCUUAUUCUCAGUGAAGCCAAUAUGAGUUACCUUUUCAUCAAAUUUCAUAAACCACUGUCUUGAUGCUUGUUUUAGACCAUAUAUAGACUUGCUCAAUCUGCAAACUAGAUGUUCUUUGCCCUCUUCAAUGAAACCAGGAGGUUGGUUCAUAUAAAUUUCCUCUUCCAAGUCACCAUUUAGAAAUGCCGUUUUGACGUCCAUUUGGUGUAGUUCCAAGUCAAAGUGUGCCACGAGUGCUAAGAUUAUCCGCAAGGAAUCCUUGGACGACACGGGAGAAAAUGUUUCAUUAUAGUCUACCCCUUCCCUUUGAGUGAAGCCUUUAGCCACCAAUCUCGCUUUGAACCUUUCAACCUUCCCUUUCGAAUCUCUCUUAGUUUUGUACACCCAUUUGCAUCCAAUGGGUAUCAUAGAUUCUGUCUUCUCUACGAGGGUCCACACCUGAUUAGAAUGCAUAGACCUUAUCUCCUCUUCCAUUGCUCGCUGCCAUGAUAAAGAGUUUUCACUUUUAAUUGCAUGCAUGAAAGUUGCUGGAUCAGUCAUUAUACCUUCAUCAUGCUCAACUUCACAAAAGUAAGUGAUAUAAUCUUCUGGAAUAGCCGAUCUGCGAAUUCUUUGUGAGGCUCUUCUUGGUGCUUCCAAGGCAAUUAGUAACUCAUUAGCAUUAGGUUCAACUAUUGGUCCAUCUUGUUGUGGUUCAUCUAUUUGAUAACCCUCUGCAGCAUUAUUUUCACGUGAUGGCUGCGAGAAACUAGUUUCAAAAACUAUAGUUUCUCCAAGGCUUUGACUCCCUUCAUCAUUAUUGCUCGACACAUCAGUGGGAUUCCCAAGAUCCUGAAAAACAAAACUGCUUGCAUUUUCAUCACCAUUUACUUCUUCCUCGAUGAACUUUGCAUUGUUAGUCUCAAAAACCCUAGUCUGCAAGUGUGAAGCAUAAAACUUGUAUCCUUUAGACCUCUCAGGAAAGCCAAUAAAGUGACAACUCACUGUUCUUGAAUCAAGUUUCUUUUCAUGUGGAUUAUACAUUCUUGCUUCUGCCCUACAACCCCAAACAUGUAGAUGAUUGAUGCUAGGUUUCCUCGAAGUCCAAAGUUCAAAGGGUGUCUUACUCACUGAUUUGCUAGGGACACGAUUCACUAUAUAGUUUGCCAUCUUUAAUGCUUCUCCCCAAAGAAACUGAGGUAGAACUGACCUGCUCAUCAUGCUUCUUGUCAUCUCUAUCAAUGUCCUAUUCCUCCUCUCCGCCACACCGUUUUGAUCAGGCGUCCCAGGUGUGGUGUACUGAGCUUGGAUGCCACACUCUUCUAGAUACAUAGCCAGCGGUCCCUUUUGUUGCCCAGCCUCGGUGAACCUGCCAAAGUAUUCUCCUCCUCUAUCCGAUCUCAAAACCUUAAUUGUAGUGUUUAAUUGGUUCUCUACUUCUGUUUUAAAAAUUUUAAAACAAUUUGGGACUUGUGAUUUUUCUGAAAUUAGAAAGACACUUCCAUACCUUGAAAAAUCAUCAAUGAAAGUCACAAAAUAAAUAUUUCCACAGAUUGUUUUAACUGGAAAAGGACCACAAACAUCCGAAUGAAUUAUUUCUAACAGUUUUUUACUUCUUGUUGCGUCCUUUUUCUUGGUUUUAGUUAACUUGCCUUUGUAACAAUCCACACACUCAUGCAAGUCAUUAAAAUCCAAGGCUGGCAAAAUAUUUUCAUGCACCAAACGCUGCAGUCUUUUCUUUGAAAUAUGACCUAACCUUCUAUGCCAAAGCAUGGAAGAAAGAUCAUUUGAUAAGGGCCUUUUCAUUCGAACAGAAGAGUCUAGAGUGUAACAACUCAAAUCAUUCAUGACAACACAAUCUAAUUUCCAUAAAUCAUUGUCUAAAAAGCAAACGCCCAGCAAUUGACUCAAAUUAUUUUUCAUAAAGAUCCUUAUGCUUUCAUCAUCACCAACGAAAGCAAAACCGUCUUUUACAAGUCUUGAAGCAGAAAUUAAAGACCUAGUUAAAGUAGGAACAUAAAGUACAUUUGAAAGUUCUAAAAUAAAGCUUGACGACAACUUGAGCUUGAGGUUGCCUAUUGCUUCCACAGCCACUUUAUUCCCAUUGCCCACAUGCACUUCAAAGACUUCAUUACUUGUUGACAUUUUUCUUGAAAAUCCCUGCAAGGAAUUGGUAAUAUGCACCGAACAACCAGUGUCAAACCACCAAGUAUUUGGAGGGGCUUCAACAAGUAAAGUUUGAAAACAAACAAAAACAUUGAAAAUAUUUGUACCUUUUCCUUUCUUCACUGCCCAUUUUUUACGUUUCUCGCAGUCCCUUUUCAAGUGUCCAUAUUGUUUGCAAAAAUAGCAUUUCACAUUCUCCAAAUUUGGCCUAAAGUUUUGAGGUCCUCUAGAGGAAGAAGCAACAUUGGCAGUAGUAGUGGAGGAAUUAAAAGGCUUAGUCUGCUUACCAGCAUUUACCAUAGGAUUCUUACUUGCAUUAUAGUCAACAAGGUUCACCACUGCACCUUUUGCACGAUUCAGCCUGCUCUCCUCUUGUGCACAGAUAGAAAUCAUCUCAUCCAGACUCCAUUUCUCCUUUUGAGUAUUGUAUGACACCUUAAGCUGUUCAAAUGACUCAGGAAGGGAUGAGAGAGCCAUGUGAACAACAAAGGAAUCAUCAAUUGGUACCUCCAUCCAGAUCCUUGAGCUUGGCGGCAGCCUCCACCAUUUUCAGUAUAUGCUCCCGGACACUCGUUUUGCCAUCGAACUUCUGAGAAGUCAGUGUGGUCAUCAGGUUCGCCAUCUCUCCUUUCUCGGACAUCUUGAAUUUUGCUCCAACAGCUUCAAGAAAAGCUUUAGCUUUGUCACAUGAUGGUAUGCCACCUCUCACAGCCUCACUGAUGGACCUUUUCAUGACCAUGAGAGCCAUUCGGUUUGACUUCUCCCAUUUCUCAGACUUCAAUCUUUGCUCUGUAGUGCUGUUCGCUGUCACAGCAGGUGGUUCAUCCUCCCUCAGUGCAAGGUCAUAGUCCAUCAAGCCAAGCACGAUCUCUCUACAUCCUGUCUCCACUUUUUGAAAUUCCCUCCGUUAAGUGGUUCAAUGGAGGAAAAGCUCAGUGCAUUCGCAUUCACUGUCAAACCAAAUAAAAGUUAAACAACAUUGUAGACAAUGUUACAACUAUCACAGUAUAUGCAACACCUUUGGGCAAGAUACAUUGCUGCAGUUUUUUUUUUUUUUUUAUACACAUAAAACCAUAUGCAUCCUGAUUACAUAGCCCUUUUAACAAAUACUUAAGUUACAACACAUAUUUCAAAUCUUUGGAUAAGAAAAUAGUUGGCUCAAACAUUCAUUAAAACCUAUGUACUGAUUCACAAAUCCAACCAGUUAACCCUCUUCUCUUUGGAGUAGUACGUUAUCAUGUCAUGACUUAUAAAAACACAACCAUGCCACCGUCCUUAUAAACAAAAUUUCUUAAAAAAAAAAAAAAACUUCACUUUGGUAAAGCUUUACAAACAUUUGUUUUAAAUGGUUUUAUCAGCAUGUAUCCUUCAAUGAUGUUAAGGUUGGAACUUAAAUCAUCUUAGCGCAAGAUCCAUUCCUGUACUUGUGAUACUCAAGAAACCAAAUCAUCAGGAAAACGCGAAAAGACUAAUAAAUCAAUUAAGCAAACUUCCUUAUACGCAUAAAAGAAUCUAUGAAGAGCUAUUAUACGCUCUGAUACCAAAUGUUGGAGUUUUAAUAUAGCCGCAAACAUAGAUUACGAACAUGCAUCAAAUACUGUGAUUGUAGUUCUGACCUUGUGAAGCCAUUGAUCGCAGGGAAGAAAAGGAAAUCUUCUACUCAAGGAGGACCUGAUGUUCUUUCUAGAAUAGGGCUAGAUUUUCUGAUAUAUGAACGUGUUCCUCUUGAGCAGGGACUUAUCCUUUUAUAAACGUGUAACCACAACCGUUUCCACCUAUCACAGAAACUGCUUGGCAAAACUGCACGCUCAUUUACAUUCCAACGUGGGAUAUCCACUCACCAACACGUUUAACCCUUAAUGUCCUACUUUAAAGGAAAGAAGUUUAUUUACCUAUUAACUCUAACUGUUCUCAGUUUUCACUAAACACAAAACCCGAAUGAGAUAAGUUUAGAGUCCAAUAAGGUUCCAACAAUGCACUCUCCCAUCCUCCUUCUUAAACCGUUGAUCUCACUGACAAGGCGAGAAGUAGAUUUGGUGCGUCAUGUCUUCGGAGGAAAUAAAAACAGAAACUUGCCAACUCGUUAUCCUCCAAAGUGGUAAUGACAUCUAUCCUCUAGCAUUUUUUACCUUGAUUAAUUUGCUGCUGGCCUGCUAGUAACUUUAGUUUCAUGUCUUUUGUGUUUCAGGCCCUGGAAAGUCAGCUGGAUUAUUAAAGCAGCAGGGCUGCAUUUUUUAGGGCUCAAAAUUGAUAUGUAACUGAAAUAUAUGUACAAACCAAACUUUUAUAUGAUGGAAGGAAAGUUUGGCAAAGUUAAUCCCAUUACAUUUCCAAUUCAACCCUUACCCAACUCAACAAAAUCUGCAUUCUUUGAGGGAUGAAAUUGGUAUUUAGCAGGUCCUAGUGUAUGAAAUACAAGAACCAACCUUCGUAACAUGCUGGAAAGGAGAGUUGGGCAAGUGUUUGUCCUCAAUACAGACUGACCUCACAACACAUGCCCAAUUGAAAAGAGAGAUUUUUCGUUGUGAUCGUAACACCGUCAUGUAAAUGGUGGAUAUCAACUUGUAUUCUAAUGUAUUUUGUUAACUAAAGGGGUGUGAUAUCUACACAUCUCUUUUUGUUUCUCACACCUUUAUAAUUAUCGACGGUAGGAUCGGGUGAAUUGAAAAAGAUCAAGAGACAGAAAUUCUAUACUAUAAAACAUAAGGCUCAUCAUAUACCCAUAUAUGGACAUGUGGAUAGUACUCCAUGACGGUUUCAUAGUCAAACAGACAAUUAAUCCUGCAUUUUAAAAUUAAAAAUGUUACAUAUAGUGCACGAUUGACUUAAAUUACACCAGCAUUCCUUUCUCCGGGUAUGUAUCUGCCAAGUCAGCCGCCGGAAUCUGUGAGAAAGAAAAAUAAAAAACUGUAGUUGUUUUCUUUAAUCCGGACAAAAGAGUCGCAACGUGUACAAAGAGCAAAGGUUGACGUGUCGGCCUAUUCUACUCAUACCCUUCGUCCACCUUUCUCCUUCCUUUCCUUUCCUUGCAGUCUCUCUCUCUCUCAUCAAGGUUUAAACCUGAUACCUAAUUACUUUUCUACUUUUUUGCAAAAAAAUGGGAAGCAAGCAAAAAAUGGUACUUUUGGGUAGCGUUUGGUACGGGACGGGACGGGACGGAACAGUGGUCCCAUGUUACGUUUGGUACGUGCAGGACAGAAUGAGAAAGUUGUUCCGUUCUGCGUUUGGUGCACAGGACAGAGAACGAAACCAAAAUAUAAAAAUGACUAACUUACCCUUGUUUGUAAUUAAUCCGCACAAAAGAACAGUUGCGACUAGACAAAAAUAAUAAUAUGGCUGAAGGGCUCCAAUUCCAGGAAUGAAACUGGGAACUCAAGGAGUUCAAAUUAACUGUGAGAUUUUUUUUGUUCAGAAAUGAACAUGUUUUUUAAUUUUCUGAUUUUAUUGCUGCAGCAAACUAAUUAGAAGGGAAAUCCCAAAAUCAAGUCUUAUAUUUUGGAGGCGUGUUUUCACCAAAUCAAUGUUCGUGUGUCCCCAACAAAUUGAGUGAGUUGAUGGCUGUUGCAUAUAAAGCUAGAUUGGAACUCUAAUACAUUAGGAUGGUGGGUUCCAAAAAUUUAAGAGUAUGAACAGAAAGAAAAACGCAUCAGACCUCCUGGAAGCAAUUUUUUUUUUUCAGUUGCAGAUCGAAGCAAUACAAAGAAAGAGAGACCGAGAGGCAGAUCGUACCUGGACUGGAGAUGCAGAGCUGAAGUUCACAAAGAAGGUUGCAAAGGGGAGAUGCAGAGGAUGAGGAGGAAGGUUGCGAAGGGGGGAGAUGCAGAGGAGAGGAAUGAGGAAGACAGCGGCAGGUAGAGAGAAGAGAUUGUUUUAGGGUUUGUAAUGAUUUAGACGGUGUAAUUUUUGAAAAAGAUAUGGGGUAUAUUUGUCUUAAAAUGGUAAAAUAUUGUGUUCCACAGGCGUGGAACAACCCGUUCCAGGGGGUAGACACGGGACACAAAAACACCCAAAUUUUGUCCCGUGGAACAGUGCGUUCCACCCUUUUUUGGCGUACCAAACGCAGGACGGAACGCCUCGUCCCGUUCCGUCCCGUCCCGCAUACCAAAUGCACCCUUGGGGACUUGUCAAACGUGGUUCUGUUCUGUCCUCACCCAAUUUCCUGAAUGAGGAUCUUCUCCAGAUUUUCUUUGUGAGGAUUCUGAGGAUCUUCAAAUCGUAUUCGUUCAUCGUACAUCAAGCGAUCAUAAAUUAUUUUAAAAUUUUUAUUUAAAAUUAAAUAUAAAUAGUAUAUGAUAAAAACUGAUUGCAGGAUAUACGAUGAACGGACACGAUUUGAGAAUUCCUAAGAUCGAGAAUCCUCUUCUCAUUCCAAUUUCCUUAACGUAUUGUACGACUAAUUGCAUGCAAAUGAUAACUUGGGUAAUCUCGGUUUUAUGUUUGAUCAUACAGAUAUUUGAUUCGUCAGAUACUAAAAUCUCUCCUAAUCUAUGAUAAGACUGACCAAAUAAAUUAAGAUAAAAAUAUUCUUGAGCUCAUUUAGUCAAAACCACACUAGUAUUCGAAAUCUCCGUACUCUUUUUCUUCGCAAUUGAUUGGACUAAAUAUGUUCAUAAAUUUUAGUUUAAGAAGCAUUGGUUAAUGAUUGGGAGAGAGUAUAAAAAGAAAAGAGGAGGAGAAGAAGGGCCGGCCCAAGCCAAGUGCAAGCAGGGCGACCGUCCAGGGUCCAAAAUAAUUGGGGGCACCAAAAUUAUUAGGAUGACAUAUUUAUAUAUGUUCUCAUAAGAGUAUAAAGUUAUAAAAUUUGGUUCAAUGACAAAGAAAUUUAACUAUAACUGGUGGUUUUGUUGUUUGAAAUUAAUAAGGAGGUCUUGGGUUCAAAAUACCAUGUGAGCUUAUUUACUUUUUAAUUUUUACGAAUUUUUGUUUAGUUGUUAAUUUAUUUUUAAUUAGUAAGUAGUAGCUAUGUGGGUUGUUAUUUUUAAAACAUUUGUUCCAAUUCAAGUCUAAUAUUCAACAAAGAGUAAUGCGUUAACCAAAUUUGCAAAUCAUAUGACGUGUUAUAAAAAAGUUUAAUUUACUACCCAUUUAUUACUUAUACAUAUCAAUUAAAGACUAAAAAAAAAUCAUUAUUUUUUUAGUCCCAUAUUGACAAGGUUAGUAAAUAAGAAAAAAAACUCACGAUUCAUACAAAAACACUUUAAAAGUUCAGAUGAAAAACAAAACUCAUAUUUAUAUACUUGUAAACCUGGAGUUUUUUUGUUUCCUUUUCACGAUACAAAAUAAAUUAGUUUUUCCGCGUUUCUAAAUUAUUAAGUUUGAAGUGUUUUUCUAAGUAUAAUUUUAUCGAUGUCUUAGGUAUGAAAACAAAUAAUUUUCUUAUAUAAAAUGAGGGCACAUUUUGUGGUGUCGGGGCCACAAAAAUCUGUAGACCGGCCCUGGGAAGAAGUCUUUGUUUUUGCUUGGAAAUGAAGAGGUCUCUUGGACGUUGUUAAACAUUUGCUCAAUCAAAACACCUUUCUUUCGUCUUCAGCCUAACAAAUUUAUCAUUUUAUACAAUUUUUUGGAUCCAAUAAUCCUCCAUUUAUUCUUUACACUAUUUUUCAGAGCAAAUCCAAACCUUCCCACCUUCCUCUCUCUCUCUAAAAGUCAGAGCUCAGGUGAGAAUCGAAUUCAAAACUUCAAACGCCUCUUAAUUAACUAAACUACAAGCGAAUCGAGCUUUAUGGUUGGAAAAUUCAUAAAGUGCGGACAGUCUAGUACUUUGCAGUUUUGGAGUUGGAAACUUAGUACUCAUGAAACAAGUCGUAAAUGUUCUUGGUUAAGAUCAAUGAUCCAUUACAUCCGGAAUUCAUGUGGUCUACCUUCAAAGACAGACACUCCAACUGUCAUCCAUGAAGAUAAUGCAGCCUGUGUCGCCCAGAUGAAGGAAGGAUUCAUCAAAGGCGAUAAGACUAAACACAUAUCUCCAAGAUUUUUCAAUGCACAUGAUCUUCAGAAGGCUAAAGUUAUUGAAGUCAGACAAAUCCGUUCCAAUGAAAAUCUGGCAGACUUGUUCACCAAAUCUCUACCAAAGUGUACAUUUCAGAAGUUAGUGUAGGGAAUCGGAUUACGUCGACUUACAAAUUUGAAGAAUGCGGAAUCAGGGGGAGAUACAAUUCAGGGAGAGCAUCCAUGAUACAUGCAUGUUGUACUCUUUUUCCUUCAAUUAGGAUUUUUCCUAUCAAGGUUUUAACGAGGCAACAUAAGCUUUCUUAACGCCAUAUUAACAAUCCGGGUAAAGUUGUACUCUUUUUCCUUCGCUAUGAUUUUUUUUUUCCCACUGAGUUUUUCCAAGCAAGGUUUUAACGAGGCAACUAAUGUUGAUAUGUGGGCAUCCAAAGGGGAGUGUUGUAAAAUAGUGGGUAUGUUUGCCCACAUGUCUAUAGUAACUCUUUCACAAGUUUAAUAGUGUCAUUUGUUUGUUUCCUAUGAGGUUGCUCUAUAAAUAGAGCACUACAUUUGAUCAAAUGAGACUUGGAAGAGAAAAACAACUAAUAGCAAUAAUAUAUAUUACUUCCUCUGCAACAGCUUGGGUUGAUAUAAUAUUUUGCAACUGCUUCGCUCAUGUUUUUAAUGAAGGUUAUCUCUCUAAAUUUUGCCUAUUUAUAACAGAAAAUGAGUUUUCUAAUGGUUUAUGGAUUUUAAGUUGGUUUUACUUUAUUAAAUAGUAAGUAUAAUUGCUAACCUUCCCAGACUUCCAUCCCAAGAAGAAGAGACUGAAGGCCGCGGAUCCAGACCGAGAUUCUCCAACGUCAAGCACAAAUCAGACGGGAAAAACGAUGACGAUGAAACCUGUGUUUCCGGCGUCUUCGGAGGAGGCUGCAAUCCAGGCAAUGUCCACUUCUCCGCCUUCUUCCCAAUCUCUUCCGCCGCCUCCUCCUCCUCCCCAUUCUGCUCAUCCGAAUCCUUCGAGCUCGGAAUCGAAAACAGCUUCUCAAAUGCCUGAACCAAAUGCAUCACCUUCCCACGCUCUGGCACACUCUUCCUCGCCUCUUCCAACAACUUGUCCCUUCUUCUCUUGAUUGUCGAACAACCCAAUUCACUAUCCGGGUCCAAAUCACCCGACCCAUCUUCAAUAUGAAGGUCCUGAAUCCUCAAACCCUCCUCGAUUGCUUCCUCUAGUUCACGCUCAGCUCUGUCGCUCUCCUUCAAACUCUCGGAUUCGACAUCGUCGUCGUUUCGCUUCUUAAAGAACUCUUCCUGCGACGCCUGCAGAUUUUCAUACGCAACGCAGAGGCACAUCUUCGAAUUUCCCUUCUCUUUGCACUUGCAGGCGACAUUCGGGUUCUCCUUCUUCGAUUUCUUCUUCGCGACGACGAGCUUCCUCUCCCGGAUCUUGUUCCCUGGCGAACGAACAACCGGGUUUGCGUUCUUGGACUCCGAUUUGUGGGACUUCGCUGCCGAUUUCGACGCAGGUGAAGCGGUGGGUUUCGGUGCAGGGGAAACAUUGGGGUUCGAAUUCUCAGUGUAUCUCGAGUUGUCGUGCUUCUUGGAUCGAGACCCAUGUUGGUUUUUCACAGGAGUCACCGCUUUGGCGUUCGAAUUCUCAGUGUAUCUCAGUGUUCUUUAGGAAGCUACUCUGUUCAUUUUGUGUACAGUUGUAGAAUUUUGGUUCAGUUAAGUUCAUUAAGGAUUUUCAAACUUUUUGGAGGUGUAAUUUUCUGUGAUUUGAUUAUUUCGAGUGUGUACUUAUCUGUGAUUUUCUGUAAUUCUUUGCGAUUUGCUUGUUCUUUUGAUGUUUGUGAGCAGGUUGAGCUUCCUCCAUGGACUGACAUCGUUAAGACCGCAAGAUUCACGGAGUUGGCUCCUUAUGAUCCUGACUGGUACCAUGUCAGAGUUGGCUCCUUAUGAUCACGAAGUUCUCUCAAUGGCAGGGGAAUCGAGGUGUGGUUCUAGUUCUUGUGUUUUAUAUGAUCGAACUAAUAUAGUUUUACAAUAACUAGUUUCGCCUUUCUGUAAUAUAAACAAAAGGAGUUGCGGAGAAUGACAAUAACAAAUGUAUGCAUGAGAAUUUUAUAGUCAAACUGUUAAGAGCAGUUGCCCUUACAUGAUUACAUCCAAAGAUGCGCAUUAGAACAAGACGCGCAUUAGAAUGAUCAUGAAUAUAUUAAAAUUGCUCAACAAGUUAUUGUACACGUUUGUAUGUGCACGUAAGAUGUCUCGAUCACUUGGUGCAUCAUUUUGAGGGACGCUUCUUCCUAUAUAACGUAAGAGCCCGGUAUCGAGGUUGUGUAAGUAGACAUCCUUAGGCAUACCAAUAAACUCAGGAUCAUCCAUCUGAUUAAAGCUAAUCUCCUUCACACGGCCAUCUUCCUGCGGCACAUGUAUCUCCAAUACAAAAUUGAGUAGAUUGGUAACCCACUCGGUAAUAUCAACUGCAUUGCCAUUUGCCGUAAAAAGAGCACAUCUCCACGAUCCUACGAGUAUCCCUUCAUCAUCAUAUACUUCGACAUUCAGUUCACCAUUUAUCCAGAUCCUCACCUUCUCACUAAACAGAUAGGGCUCUGGCGGUGGCAGACUGUAGAUUUUGUAGGCGAAGUAGACUAAUGCAAUAGUAAUGAUGAUAAUACAAAUCCAUGUGCAUGUGCAACCUUGUAGCAGUGCGUUUUCGUCUGCAGCAUUUACACCAGGAAUCCAGCCAAGCAGCAAGAUUACGAAGAAAAAUGUUAAUCCAAACUUGUCCUUCUGGCUCACUCGUGCACCAUGCUUAAUGGGAAGCCCUAAAAUUCUGGAACAAGAAUGAAAUCAAAAUUUAUUAAGUUGAUUAACUGCGAUUGUGUGUGAGAGAGAACAUACUAAGAGGUUUAAGAAAAUACACAUCCGCACGGAAGAACAUAUUACACAAGAAACAACUUGAAAUGCACCUUUUAGUAACGGCGAUAUCAUCUGUAACAAUCGGAAGUGCAUUGCAGGAGCUUGAGAAAAUCUCGCGGCCUUGCGAACGAGCAAGGCAUUUAUAUUGAUUGGCACCUGUUGUAUUGCAAACCAAAAAGUAUGUGAAAUGUACAAUAAUUGGUGUAGUUGCUUCAAUAUCCGUACAUACACAUUUUGUAAUGCUUUCGGAUGAGUAAAAGAAAGGGAACAUUUAAAAAAAUGCACUUACUGUUGCUAACAUUGGUCUUUUUAAGCAACAUGAAACGUUUAUCUUGCGAGCUUGUCAGGUCAAUAGUUUUUGCAUUGUAAUGAACAUAUUCCGGAUCAUCCAAUACAAGGACCUGUUAAUUUGUUGAAGGUCGAUAUCAAUGGCUUCCAUGAAAACGUAAAGUUGCCAAAGUAGUUUUGGCUACAGAAGAACUAUGCAGAAGAGAACACUUCAAUUAGCUUCACAGGUUUCUAUGGAUGGGUGAACUAAUAAUCCUAAGUAGUUUUGUUUGGGAAGCAAAAUUAUUUCCUUCAAACUAAAGCAAAGAAACAAGCACCAAGCCCACACAGACUAGGACAAAGGCCCAAUUGUGAACAACAUAGACAACAAAAGGCCUAAGGGCCCAGACUCCGAACCACUUAACAAUCACACUAACCUUACAACUGACAGCAAGAGGAACCAAGCCAUCAACGGCCCAAUCGUGUGGAGCCAUCCCACUGAAAUCAGAAGGCGAAUUAGAAUUUUUCAUCAUUUGGAAAUUAAUUAGACAGUUAAUUAAUUAAAAUGUUGAAAUAAGUAUAAAAGGAGGAAUAAUUAAUUCCUUUACAGAGUUGAAGUGAUCACUUCGUACUACGAUUUAAUGAUAUUACUUUUCAUUCGUAAGUGAGAAGGAAUGAAAUCAUUAGACAGUUAAUUAACAGCAAAUUGAAUUGUUACUUGUUAAUUAAGUAAUUUUAAUAUCUGGAAAAAAAAAAGAAGUAAUUCUAAUAAAAUUUGAAAACAAGGAAGUUCGUUACCGGUCGGUACGGUCGUCUUGGAGCACAAUCUUAAUCUGCGCCAAUCAACAGGCGCCAAAAAAAAGAAGUAAUUCACAUACUUUUUGGUUUGCAAUAUAACAGGCGCCAAUCAACAUAAAUGCCCUGCUCGUUCGCAAGGCCGCGAGAUUUUCUCAAGCUCCUGCAAUCCACUUCCGAUCGUUACAGAGGAUGACACUGUUACUGAAAGGUGCGUUUAAAGUUGUUUCUUGUGUAAUAUGUGCUUCCGUGUGGAUGUGUAUUUUCUUAAAUCUCUUAGUAUGUUCUCUCUCACACACAGUUGCAAUUAAUCAACUUAAUAAAUUUUGAUUUCAUUUUUGCAGUUCCAGAAAUUUAUGGCUUCCCAUUAAGCAUGGUGCACGAGUAAGCCAGAAGGACAAGUUAGGAUUAACAUUUUUCUUCGCAAUCUUGCUGCCUGGCUGGAUUCCUGUUGUAAAUGCUGUAGACGAAAGCGCAUUCCAACGGGGUACUAUUAGCACAUGCACAUGGUUUUGGAUUAACAUCAUUACUAUUGCAUCAGCAUACUGCGCCUACAAAAUCUUACGUAGGUCUCCGCCAGAGCCCUAUCUGUUUAGUGAGAAGGUGAGGAUCUGGAUAAAUGGGGAAAUGAAUGUCGAAGUAUAUGAUGAUGAAGGGAUACUUGUAGGAUCGUGGAGACGUGCUCUUUUUACGGCAAAUGGCGAUGCAGUUGAUAUUACUGAGUGGGUUACCAAUCUACUCAAUUUUGUACUGGAGAUACAUGUGCCGCAGGAAGAUGGCCGUGCGAAGGACAUUAGCUUUAAUCAGAUGGAUGAUCCUGAGUUUAUUGGUAUGCCUAAGGAUGUCUACUUACACAACCCCGAUACCGGGCUCUUACGUUAUAUAGGAAGAAGCGUUCAUCAAAAUGGUGCACCAAGUGAACGAGACAUCUUACGUGUACGUACAAUUUUGAUGUAAUUAAUUACGUACGAACUUGUUGAGCAAUUUUAUUGUAAUUAACACGUACGAACAGUUGAAUAUCAGAGUGCGCAACGAACGAGACUUACAAAAUAAUAGAAAUAUUAUUAAACGAACGAGAAUGCCGAAACGGCUACAAAACCCUAAGAGACUACAUUGUGACUAACUUGAUACUCAAACUAAAUUACAAGCUCUAUUUAUAGAGCAAUAAACCAAAGAAACCCUAAUGCGUAAAUGCCAAAAAUACCCUACUACAAAAUCAAAUCAAAUCUCUAAUUAAUUUCCUAAAUAAACCUAAUAAAUUCCAACACCCCCGUCAAACUCAUGACGGUACACGACAUGAGUUUGCCAACAAGCAGAUGUGGAUGCAAGCCUCCAAAUUCCGAUGCCGAUGCCGAUGCCGAUUCCAAUUUCCGAUGCCAAUUUCAAUACGAAAUUUCACCAGUGUAAGUACAAGAUUCCAAUGCCAGUGCAAAUUCCAACUUCCGAACAAACAAACAAAAAACCAUAUUCAAAACCAUAUGAUGCAGCAAACAAGUUUUGCAAAAUAAAGGGAUUGCAGCCGACAUAACAACUCUAGUGAAAAGUCAAACUGCAGAAGGGAAAGCCUAAACGAGACCAAACAGAGUGACCAAGAACAAGGGACACAGAGCAAAGCGGAAGCGAAGCCUAAAUGAGACCAAAAGUAAACCCAAAAACAAAAUGCGAUAAAACAAAUUGAUACCAACAAGAACGGAUUGAACCCUAAGGAUCGAACCCGCUCUGAUACCAAGUUGAAUAUCAGAGUGCGCAACGAACGAGACUUACAAAAUAAUAGAAAUAUUAUUAAACGAACGAGAAUGCCGAAACAGCUACAAAACCCUAAGAGACUACAUUGUGACUAACUUUAUACUCAAACUAAAUUACAAGCUCUAUUUAUAGAGCAAUAAACCAAAGAAACCCUAAUGCGUAAAUGCCAAAAAUACCCUACUACAAAAUCAAAUCAAAUCUCUAAUUAAUUUCAUAAAUAAACCUAAUAAAUUCCAACACGAACUUGGCUAGGGGCUAACCAACUACCAAGUCAAGAGUCACCUGUUGUUUUUGUUUUAAAGCAAGUCUUUGGAUGUAAUAAUGUAAGGGCAACUGCUCUUGACAGCUUGACUAUAAAAUUCUCAUACAUACUUCUGUUAUUGUCAUUCUUCGUAACUCCUUAGGUUUAUGUUAUAUUCAUUCUGAACACCCAUAAUCCACGCUCUUGUUCUUCUCCAAGCCGGUUUUGCAUGCUUAAUUCUGAAGGUUCUUCAAUGGCAGAUUGGAGAUGAUAGUCUCCAAAAGCUCUUGCAGUUGACUCUUCCAAGCUAAACAUGAUGAUGCGGUGGCGGAGGAGGAAGACGAACCGCUCCCCACCCCCCCCCCCCCCCCCCCCGCGGGGCAUUUCACAUGUCAUCUCAAUAUUGAUUUCAAAGCCAGUUACACCAAAAACCCCUCCCAUGAAUUAAAACUACAAAUUAAGAGCUAGCUAGCAUAUGAAAUUUGAUUUUUUUUAUUGAGAUUUGCAACAAGUUUGCAAGAUCAUUCAUAUGAGUUCACAUAUUUUCUUUAUUAGGGUUUCCUCCAACUUGUUUCUGAUAUGCCUUUUUAUCUUGCGAUACUAGCUGGUCCUGAGUUUUUUGGUGCCCAGUGCCAAAGCUCAAAAUGUGCCAUUUUUAAUACGGAAACAUAUGUUUAAAAAAAAUUAUUUAACGAGGAUAAUCACACGUAUGUGUAAAAAAUUCAUCACUAAUAGCAUACAAAAUGGCUUCCAAUUUUUGUCAUGUACGUGUAAAAUUUUAUUCACAUCAACCAAAUUAUGAUCCAAAACAGAUGGAUAACCACAUAUACAAACCUGCAAAUGGCUUUUGCCUUCAUCAUUAGUAAGCCCAUCAACCUUCAUUAACUCUCUAAUUUGUUUUGGUGUAGCAGCUGCAAGAUAAAAAAACCAAUCACAUAACACAUUAAACACACAUUAAACAUAUACCAAUCCAAUCAGAUAUUCAUCCAAUCAUAUAAAAUAAAGGUGUUCAUCAAUUCACUCUUGAACUUGUAAGGAUUGGCCAACACAAAGCAAAGAGUGGCCAACACAAAUCACCCUAUGCAACAUUUCCAUAAAAACACUUUCGAAAUCUUCACCGGUAUCCAUCUACAAAUCCACAAAGACAAGUAAUUAAUGUUUCAUGUCAAUCACAUUGACAAACAAACUAAACAACCUCCUCAAAAGUUUAACCCAAAAAGUAUACCAAAUUUGAUAUUUAUUAACAUAAUCAAAGCAACUAAACAAAAACCAAAAUUGAAAGUAAUAAAAAUAAAUUGAUCCAUAAAAAAUACACAAUAAAUUGACCCACAACUUCCCAUUUGCCCAGCAGCCCUUCACCAUUCACUAUAUGCCAACACCUUUCACGAUAUUGUUUUCCGUAAUCAAUUCUUCCACCAUAGUAAAGCAAUAAAGUAAUCUUGUUCUGUUGGGGUCUGUCGGUUUCCCAGUUCCAUUAGCCGUCUUCGGCUUUCUUUGUUCUUGGCUGGCCUUUGUGCCUUGGUAAUGAAUCCUUUCUUCUUCUUCUUCUUCAAAAAAAAAAAAAAAAAAAAAAAGCAAUGGACUCAAUGGCAGCCAUCGAUUUUAUAGGUUCUUACUAAAAGCUCAACAAUAAUUGUGCAGCUACAGGAAUUCCAGAUACAAUUAGUGUUCUCGAAAUUGUAGAGGUCUCUCCGAUGAGAUAUUUCCAUAUGGUCUUCACUCCCUCUCUCAGACAUUUUCUCAAACAGUUCCAAUGCAUAACAAUCUUUUGUCACAAAUUUUCGCACAAGAUACCAAUAAACCCAUCCACAUUUAUCAGUCAAGAAGUCUUCAUAUAUGAUCAGAAUAACACCAGUAUAAUAUGGCAGAAUAAACUUCAAAAUCCAACACCAUUUGUCUUUCCAAUUUGUAAAAUUGAAAACCAAGGAUGUAAAAUUGCCUACACAUGAUAUAACAAAAAUUUCCUAUCAAAAUUAUCAUUCCAACACAUAUUAUUAUAAAAACCCUAACAUCUAUUAUAUAUAUUACAAAAUCACUAAUACAUAGUCUAACAAAACGGAAAUCGGCAUCCAAAUUCCUAACAGGAUGCAGGAAAAAAGUUGGACCUUGAACUUUGAAAUGAAAUCAAAUAAUUCAAUUCAUCAACAACAACAAUUAUACAUCAAUUAUCAUAUAAUUCUAUAUCACUUGCAAAAUUUUAUAUUAAAUUAUGAAUUAAUAAUUCAAAUUUUAAGCACUUGCAGCAUUUUGGAAUUGGGAGAAAACUCGGAAAAGGAGACAGUCAGAGACGGCAGGGCAGGGAAAGUGAGAAACAAAGUGGGGUAACACUGAGUCUGGGCUGGGCCUAACUAGCUCAUAGAGAAUGAUAAACACAUAGAAUUAAACUGGCAAGUCUCAAAACAUGAAACUGCAACACAAAGAGUUUCGUUACUUCACGACCGCGACAAGAACAAGAACACAAAACCAGAUAUUACAGGCUCUAUGAUUCCAAAUCAAACAGUUUCGAGGAUGACAAACUAUCGAUCAACUACUAAGCGAGUCUCAGCACACCCUAAAUGCAAAAUCCAACAGAAAGCCAUUGCCUUUGGGAAGUUCAUUUAUCAUUUAUGAAUGAUCACAGGCUCUAAGUAGGUACGUAGCAAUAAAACCUUCAGUCAGGUACAAUAAUAACGUUACGAGGCUCUGUGGCUGGCAUGGCAUCCACACCUUUCCCAAAUAUUAACCCAAGUACAAGGCUUGUCAAUGUCGAUUCUCGAUGCUUUGUUGUAAAGUUUUGUUGCUAAAAUGAAAUGCUCCUCGACCCUCUUCUCUUUGUUUAGUGUCAAUUCCUCGAUGAUUCUUCGCUUGGCAGUGAUCGGACAGAACUUCGAUUAAAAGCAUGAAGAAGACCAUGAUUUUUUAUCUCAUGGAAAAACCGACAAGUAUCCUAAAUCAAGAAAAAUUAUCUCGCUGUUUAGCAUUAAUAUGAAAUCGUGUCAUCAUCACACGUUCAUUUAGCAUACUCUAAUAACAAUUAUUUUAGUAAAGUAAUUUACACUAAAAUUUACAAACAAAUCGGCAGUCUUGAACUAUCAUCUUACAGAAUGAUAAUUUGAGCGUAGGUCAUUACUUCCUUUAGCUUUUCAUGGAGUAGUGCCCUGCCUUUUUCUUUCCAAAGUGAAUUUGAUUCAUAAUACAAGGCCUCCACCCACACUCCAGCACCAUCAUAGUAUUUUCCGUAGGGAUCGAUUACCAUUUUCUCGAGCAUUAUUGCAUUUCUCAGGAUACAAAUGGCAAGCUCGAUCUCACAUGGCGUAUAUUGAAAUCCUUGAACUUAACUUCUCUCAGAUGACAAUGUUUGAUUCCAGCAAAGUUCUCUAUGAGCUCGGAAAGACGCCUUUGGAGUUCGUUUUCCAUCACAAGAAGCCUGAAUGCGUGACUUACGCCAAGCGAUCCGCGGAGACCUCGAAGCUCAUCUACUCUACUACAAUGUCGAAUCGCCGGACCGCGCGUUGGCAUUUCUCGACGGAGAGCUCGGACAGACGCCUUUGGAGUCGGCUUUUCAAGAUACUAAGCCUGAAUGACUGAAUCACGCCAAGCAAUUCAUGGCGGCCUCGAAGCUCAUCCUCCUCCGUGAAGAGGGAGCGACGCCGUUGGUGGACGAGUCCAGUAAAUCGGCACCGCAAACGGCGGUCUUGCUCAAGAAAUGCUUUCUUACGGACUUCGCGUCGGCUUUGCUCGGCGGAGAGAUCAGAGCGACGCCGUUGGAAGAGUUCGACGAAUCAGAGAAGUCAGCGAUGCAGACUGCAGUUGAGGUUUUGCUCCAAAACAACGAUCGUACGGACCGGUAACAUAUUUCCUUGCCUUAGACCUCUUCUUGACUAAUUAGUGUAAUGAGAGUUAAUUAAGUAACAAACCAGUUUGCUGUUAAUUAAUUAUCUAAUGAUUUCAACAACCUUUAAUUAAUUAAUUAACUGUCCCUUCUUUUUUACUUAUUUCAACAUUUACUUAUUUUUCUACUUAUUUCAACAUUUUAAUUAAUUAACCGUCUAAUUAACUCCACCUUCCUGCUCCACAAAUAUAUACAAGGUUCUAAAAGUCGCUAGGCGCUAGUCGGGCGGCGGGCUGGGGCCUAGGCGGGCGCCUAGGUGGGCGCCUAGGCGGACUAGGCGGAUUUAAGUAAAUCUAUCAUAUUUUAGGUAAAUAAGUGUCUGCUUCUACUUGAAAUAUAUAUAAUUUCAUCAUAAACUACAAAAUAGAAUGCAUAUAUAUCAUGAAGUAUUGAAACAUAAUGAAAACAUGUGAAAUAAGGAUAUAAUGUUUGUUCAUUCAAGUAUGCAACAAGUCUCUUACAAUUUAUUGGAAAAAAACAAAAUGCAAAAUGAAAGUUAUGUAUUUUCUGUCUAAGUGAGUUGCAACCUAGGCGGGUCUAGGCGGGUGUCUAGGCGGGCUAGGCGGGUGCCUAGGCGGUCUAGGUGGUGGGCUGGGGCCUAGCGCCUAGGCGGCGCUAGGCGGGGAUUUUUAGAACAGUGAAUAUAUGCAACAUCAUGUUAAACAUAAGUGUACCCCAACUAACCAUAUCAACUAUAUCUCCAUGUUCAAAUAUAUGCAACAUCAUGUUAAACAUAUGUGUACCCCAACUAACCAUAUCAACUAUAUCUCCAUGUUCUGUAACAAAAGAACAUUUCCAUGAUCCUACACGUUUAUCUUCCUCAUCAAAUAAUUUGAAGCGCAUUUCAGCUAAUUCCAUAUAACCCUCUGUCCGGAUCCUCACCUUAUACUAAAUAGAAUCCAAUCAGGUGGAGGAAACACAGGUGGAGGCAACCCAGGUGGAGGCAACCUAAACCAUUUUAAAAUUUUGUAGGAGAAAUAGAGUGAGGCAACCUAAACCCAGGUGGAGGAAUCACUCUAUUUCUCCUACAAAAUUUUAAAAUGGUUUAGGUUGCCUCCACUUGUGUUUCCUCCACCUGAUUGGAUUCUAUUUAGUAGAAGGUGAGGAUCCUGACAGAGGGUUAUAUGGAAUUCGCUGAAAUGCGCUACGAAUUAUUUGAUGAGGAAGAUAAACGUGUAGGAUCAUGGAAAUGUUCUUUUGUUACAGAACAUGGAGAUAUAGUUGAUAUGGUUAGUUAGGGUACACAUUUGUUUAACAUGAUGCUGCAUAUAUUUGUGGAGCAGGAAGGUGGAGACGGGGCCGGCCCUGAGGGUAGCCCGAGUAGGCGCUCGCCUAGGGCCCCCAAAUAUUUUUAUUUAUUUUUAUAUAUAGGGAAGUGUUAUUGACACUCCAAAAAUCUCAUCCUACACUCUUCACAAGUGUAUUUUUCUUUCCAAAUAUAGAAAGUUUGGAAUGUAGAAUGAGAAUUUUGGAAAGAUAAUCAUAAGUUUCUAUAUAUAUAUAUAUAUAUAUAUUUAUAUAUAUAAUUUUGUAGUUUGAGUAAAAUAUUUAAAUAUGAAAUUAUAAAUAUUUUUUUGGAACUUGCCAUGCAGCGCUUUGGGGGGGGCCUAAAAUAUUUCUCUUUAAAUAUGUGUGUAUAAUAUAUAUAUAUAUAUAUAUAUAUAUAUAUAUAUAUAUAUUUUAGAGUUUGAAUUUAAUAAAAUAUUUAAAUAUAAAAUCAUAUAAUUGUCUUGAAACUUGGCAUACAAAGUGUCUUAGGUGGGGUGAAACUUCAGCAACAAUUCAACUUUUUUUUGGAAAUUUAACGCACAGCAUACUGGUAGCAAGUCUGCGCCUGCGAAUCGGCUCUUUCCCACUCCACUUACAGAGGUCAGUUACCCGAUAAAUGCUUAUCUUCUCUUCUGCUUCUUUUUCUAUAAUUUAAUUUGUGACUUGUGAGUGCUGUGUUUGUAAAUAUAAUUAGGAUUUUCGAUUCUAGGGUUUAUGAUUUGUUUAUUUUAAUGCGUAUUGUUUAUGUGAAAUCAAAGUAUUCACUUGUCAAAUAUCUAUAUUGCAAUUAUAAAAUUCGAACUUGUGGAUGCACUUAAUAAAGUGGUUAAAUCCCUUCAAGAAGAUAAAUGGAUUAUGGGUGCACUUAACAAGGUUAGUUACUUUUGCUUCCUAACUAGUUUUGGUUCAAGAUAAUUCAAAGUUUCGAUGUUGAAUUUUGUUAACCAUAUCAGUUACAGUUGCCUCCGCAGAAAGAAGUUUCUCAAAAUUAAAGUUGAUCAAAUCGUAUCUUCAAUCAACUAUGUCACAAGAAAGAUUGAAUGAGUUAGCUAUUUUGUCAAUUGAAAAAGAAUUGGUUGAAAAGUUAGAUUAUGUAAACUUAAUUAAUACAUUUGCGUCUAAAAUCGCGGGACGUGUAAUAUUUAAGUAAUGUUUGCCAAUCUUUCUUCUUUGGAUAUGAAUUCUAAUAAUUUUUUAUGUAGAAAUGAACAUUUUCAUGUAUUUAGCGAAACAUUUUCUUAUACAUAUAAAUGUACAAUGAGUUGGGUAUCAAAGAUCUUUAGACCUAGUUUGGGAGUGAACUGCUUAAAAAAAAGCACCCAUGAAAAAAAACUGUGAGGGUUUUAGGUGUUUGGUAAACUGAAAAAAUGGCUUAUUUUGAAAGCUGCUGUGAGAAUAAGCUGAAAUCAAAGGAAAAAUCUGAAGCUACUAUUUGUAGCUUUGGAAAACUGGCUUUUUUUCAAAGCACACGAAGCUAUAGUGCUUCUUUAAUGAAAAGACCCAUUAUUAGACUGCUUUUUUUUUCAAAAGCACUUUUACAAAAAAGUUUACCAAACACUCUGCUGAUUUAUUUCACAGCCGCUUAUUCUCACAGCAUAGCCGCUUAUUCUCACAACAGCUUUUUUUCAAAGCACAGCAAUACCAAACCAGCCCUUAGGACCCUCGCUCGAAGCCUCGCCUAGGCCCCAAUUUCUCAGGGCUGCUCUGGGUGGAGAACAUGAGGUCAGUUUUAAUCAAAUGGAUCAUCCUGACUUCAUUAAUACGGCCAAGGAUGUGUACUUCCACAACCCCAAUACCGGGCUAUUACACUAUAUAGGAAGAAGCCCUCAUCGGAAUGAUUUACUGGGUGAACGGGAGAUAUUACAUAAACGGAUUUGGGAUGCAGAUGUUGAUGCCUCGCAGUGGCGGAUAAAGAGGGACCUGUAGGUCCCAGGAUCCUUUGGAGAACCUAAAUCGUGUUUUGAAAUUUUCUAGGGACCCCUCAUACUCGAAGAUGACAGCUAGUGCCGCUGCAGCGGUGGCGUCUUCCUGGAGAAGACGACCGCGCGAGGAAGAAAUAUUUUUUUUCUGUUUUAAGACUUAACCCAUAAAGCUCGUUUAGGCCAAUUGUUUGGUUUUGUUCGAUUUUUGCUGUUUGUUUGUGGGCCUAAUAUUUUGCUUAGGCUUUUGGUGAGAUGGUUGGUGUGUUGCUUGUUUUCUUGUUUUUAGAACCCACUUUUUCUUUGUGUUAAUUUUUUGGAUAUUUAUUUUGUAAAGUUUCUUGGUAACUAAUGAAUUUUACCUUUGUAUCAUAAAAAAUAAAAAAAAACCCCCCAAACUCCUAUCACGUCCCCCCCCCCCCCCGCAGUCCCACCCCAUCCCUUCCUCAACUUGAUAUUAUAUUCUCCCUUAAAAAAACUUGAUAUUUAUAUUUAUUUUAUGCAUAAUGAUUUUUCUCAAUUAAGAGGGAUUAGCAAUCUUGCUAAAAAAAUGGUGGAAGAAAGGGUUGCAACAAAUAUUUGUAUAUGUAUAUUUGCUUAUUCAGUGGGCUUUGGUUUUAUCGGGUUGCAACUGCUUCAAUGGAGAUGACAUUUUUUGCUAUGAAUAUCAAGGGUCUACUUCACAACAAAAUGAGAGAUCAAUAGUUGCAUAGAGAGGACAUGUUUCAUUAUAAAUUUUUUUUAUCUUUAUUAUUGAAACCCUCGAAUCUAAAAUCUUGGAUUCACCAAUGCCUCGUGCAUAUCCCUUUUGGCCAGGGGUAAAGAUGCAGAUGAUGGUCAAGGCUAGGGGUCUAUACAUGCAACUACCAAGUCAAGAGUCACCUGCAAGCAAGCUAGGGUCUAUACAUGCACUUUUGUUUUCAUUUUAAUGCUAGUCUUUCGGUGUAAUCAUGUAAGGGCAACCGCUCUUAACAACUUGAGUAUAAAAUUCCCAUACAUACUUCUGUUAUUAUCAAUCUCUAAUACUAACUAGGAAACCUCACUCUCACUACUCAGUCUUGGAACUCAGUAAGGUGCCUUGUACCUGUUCGACGAAUUGCCCCAGUCAAUCUGAAAGCUUUCUUCGGUACUAGCACCUCCUCCUGCCGGAAGCUUGAUCUGCCUCUGGUUGCUUGGCUGUGGUGCCUUGUACCUGCUCGACGAAUUGCUCCAGAGAAUCUGCGUUUUUUUUUUUUUUUUUUCUUUUUCAGGGUGCCCAAGGUUAUUCUGCGUUCAACCGCCCAAGGUUAUUCUGCGUUCAACCUUGCUUUAUGGUGUUGACAACUCUAAACUGAAUUAUCAUGGGCACAAAUAUCGUCUGUCCAUGGGGUUUUCUUGCAGAGACGGUUAUGCCGACAACUAAUAUGCCCCCCGCUCAACCAAUUCUGAAGGCAAGGACUUUUGCUUCUGUGGUUUCCAUCCCAAUUGAAGACGUCCAUCUCAGCCAACUUCCAACUCCGGUUGUGCGUGGGGACAAAACAUAUGUCAAAAUUAGCGAGGAUCUAUACCAAGAACAGUUGAAGUUGUUUCAAAAUAAUCUCCUUGGGCGUUUGCUCCUAAAAAAGGGUUCUACGCCAAUGAAGACCGGUGCUCUAAAAUCUUGCUUAGAAGAUGCAUGGCGCCCUACUGCACCAUGGAACCUGGUUCCUAUAGGUAAAGGUUAUUUUGAUAUCCAUUUCAAUAAGGAAGAUGAUAUGCGACGGGCAUGGGGUGGCGGUACGUGUACUCUUGCUACUGGUUUAUUCAGGUUAUCAAAAUGGACGCCAGAUUUUAAACCAGGUGAUGUUCUCCCUCAAACUCAUGCUCAGGUAUGGAUCAAAAUUUUUGGUUUGAGUCAGGAAUAUUGGCAUCCUAGACACUUGAUGGAAAUUGCGAGAGGGGUCGGCACUCCCUUGCAACUAGAUUCAGCUACAAGGGAAAGGCAAUAUGGUUAUUAUGCACGUAUAUUAGUUGAUGUCAAUCUUGCAGAUGAUUUACCUACAUCUCUUAUGGUUGAAAGAGAAAGUCAUGGCUUCCCGGUUGAGGUGGUUUAUGAAAAUUUAUCGCCCAAAUGUAGUCACUGUGGUUUGAUAGGGCAUUUGGCUAAUAGUUGCAAACAACUUAAACAGAUGUCGAGAGGUCGUUCUCGUAGCCGGACGCGAAAGGGUGGUAACAUGGGGGGACAACAAAACCGGAGAUCACUCUCGCAGUCAACUGCACAUGGAAUAUCGUCCCAUAAAAGAUACAACAAUACCGGUGAAUGUCUUUUGUGGGUCACAUGCUUCUGAACCUCUUCAACAGGUUGAUCAAUUGUUGCCUGCAGGUAUUGAGGCAGCGGAUGAUGGUAAUGCUGAGCCCAUUCUUCAGUCUCCUCUUGGAAUAACGCCAACUGUUUCUGGUAAUGUCAUACCAGAGACUGACACCGCUGAUACGCAUAUUAGUAUUCAAUCCACUGGGAUUUCGCAUAUUAGCAAUUCUAUGACCAGAUCGCUGUCUCCAGAUGGAUCACAUCCUCAUAAUGGUCUUUCUUAUGGUCAGCAUUUGGGCAACACCAUUGUCCCAAACAAUCUUGGCCCACAUGAUCUCUGUGACGACUCUAGCACUCCUCCUGGCUUUGAGCAGGUCGAGAUGGUAGCUCAGAAUAGUCAGCAGUUGGGCAACACAGAUGUCCCAAAUAAUUUUGGCAUGCAGGAUCCUCAUGACAACCAUAGCAUUCCCCCUGGUUUUGAACAUGUUGCGACAUUAGCUAAGGAUGUCAUCGAUAUUGUCAAUCACAUAGAAGGCUGUGAUAUGGAUGGUUUUACUCCUGUGUUAUCUAAUAGUCAACGGAAAAAACAAAAGCAGCUUGCCAAUCUUAAUCAACCAUCUGAUAAACCAUAUCCAAGUAGGGUCCGAGGAAUACCAGCUCGCUAUAAAUGAAGGUUCUCUUCUGGAAUAUCCGUGGCAUUGGUAACGAUGACUCUCGGACGGAACUCUCUAACAUCUGUCGGUUGCAUCACCCGGAUUUGGUUUGCAUUGCGGAGCCUAUGGUGACUUUUAAUUCUAUUUCAGCUACUUAUUGGGAUUCUUUAAAUCUAUAUGCUCUUACUUUUAAUUCUAGAGGAACUCUUGCUCCCAACCUUUGGUUACUAACAUCUUCGGCUUGUGCAGACCCUUUAGUUAUUUCUAUCUCGGAUCAACAGGUUACAGUUCGCUGUACUUUUGACCAUAUCCCAAGCCAGUUCACAUUUGUUUAUGCAAGCACUUCACCUAUCAAAAGAAGAGACUUGUGGGCUGAUUUUAUCUCUCUGCGCCCACAAACACAAGUUCCAUGGAUGGCUAUUGGCGAUUUCAAUGCUAUCCUGGGCGCCCACGAGCAGAUAGGAGGAGGCAGACCGUCCCAAGCUUCAAGUGCUCAGUUUAGUAAUAUGUCUGACACUUGUAACUUUACCCACUUGAACACAUCUGGGGCAGCCUUUACAUGGUCUAAUGGCUGGAGGUCACGUGGUCGCACUGAAAGAAGGUUAGAUCGCUCAUUGUGUGAUAUUAGCUGGUUUGAUUCUUGGCCCCACUCUAACUGCAUAGCAUUGCCAAAGGUAGUCUCAGAUCACAACCCCCUUAUCUUCUCUGGUUCUAGAGUUUUGAGUAGUGGUCAUCGUCCUUUCCGUUUUCAAUCAAUGUGGGUUCAACAUCCAUCUUUUCGAGAAACUGUAACUCAUUGCUGGAGAAAUACAGUUGUCUAUGGUUGUCCUAUGUUUAUCAUUCUGCAAAAAUUGAAAGCUCUAAAAACCUGCUUGCGCCAAUGGAAUUUUUCGGUCUUUGGUGACGUCCAUAAUAGAGUGGCUAAUGCUCGGCAUAAUCUUUCUAUGAUUCAACAAAGAAUUUCAACUGAGGGUAUAAAUAAUGAUCUUUUCGAGGAGGAGAUUGUCGCCAAGACUACAGUAAUGGAGUCUCUCCAAAUGCAUGAGGCAUUUUGGAAAGAUAGAGCUCGUGUUAAGUGGUUAACUAAAGGGGAUAGAAAUUCUUCUUUCUUUCAUGCCUAUGCUCGUAUUAAAUCAUCCAGCUCUCAUAUCAGUUGUAUUCUUGAUGGAAACAAUCUUCUUACUGACCCGCUGGCAAUUGAGAACCAUAUUGUUAAUUUCUAUCAGACUUUGUUCUGCUCUUCUUUCACCCCUUCAUGUAUUGAUGAGGUUUGUGAAGUCAUCCAGCCAAUGGUCACAGACUCUGAAAAUGAUCUCUUAUCUGCAUUACCUACUGAUGAGGAAAUUAAGGAGGCAGUUUUCUCAUUAAAUGCUUCCAGUGCGCCAGGGCCAGAUGGUUUUCCAGGUUUUUUCUAUCACCAUUGUUGGGAUAUUGUCAGCUUUGAUGUUAUUCAAUUUGUGAAGCAAUUCUUUCAAUCAAAUUGGUUAUACCCCAAUGCCAAUAGUAAUUUCUUAGUUUUGAUUCCGAAGGUGGAAGACGUUAUUUCCAUGACUCAUUUUAGACCUAUUGCUUUGGCAAACUUUCUCUUUAAGAUUAUUCCCAAAAUUUUGGCAGUUCGUCUUUCUCAUGUUGUUCAACGCAUUAUUUCUCCGCAUCAAGCUGCUUUUAUACCUGGCCGUCGUAUCACAGAUUGUAUUGGCCUUGUUUCAGAAUGUUUCAAUGUGCUUGACAAAAAAAACUCGUGGUGGCAAUAUGGGAGUCAAAGUUGAUAUAGCUAAGGCUUUUGAUACUUUAGAUUGGUCAUUUCUUUUGCGGGUGCUUACUAACUUUGGGUUCUCCACUUGUUUUAUAGACUGGGUUUUUACCAUCUUAAGAUCUGCUAAAUUGUCCAUCCUAAUUAAUGGUUCCCCGCAUGGUUUUUUCUCUUGUUCCCGAGGAGUGCGCCAAGGGGAUCCUCUCUCUCCGUUACUUUUCUGUCUAGCUGAAGAGGCUUUAUCAAGGGGUCUGAGUCGUCUUCAACUUGAUGGGCUUACUAAGCCAACUUUUGCUCCAAGAGGUUGUAUCUCUCAUUCUCACGUUCUCUAUGCAGAUGACUUAUUCAUUUUCUGUAGAAGUGAUGGUGUCACUCUGCGUAAUUUGCAAGGUUUCUUCGAUACAUAUAGUAGAGCCUCUGGUCAAUUUAUCAAUAAGACAAAAAGUACUUUCUACUUGGGCUCUACCUCAAGGCAUCGCAAAGCUGUGGUUGAGAGUUACUUGGGUUUCAAAUAAGGCAAAGCACCUUUUGUCUACUUAGGAGUUCCAAUCUUCUGUGGCAACCCUAAAAUGAGUUAUCUUCAAGCCUUGGCAGAUAAAGCUAAAGCUAAGUUAACUGGUUGGAAGGGGAAACUUUUAUCUAUGGCAGGAAGAGUUCAACUCACUCAAUCAGUUUUUCAAAGUAUGCUCUUGCAUAGCUUCUCUGUUUAUAAGUGGCCUUCUUCCUUGCUAAGGCCUCUUUCAAGAUGUGCUCGCAAUUUUAUAUGGUCUAGUGAUGUAACCUCCAAGAAGUCUGUUACCGUUUCUUAGCGUCAGAUAUGUGCUCCGAAGAAUGAAGGUGGUUUGGGUUUGCGUGAUCUUGGCUCUCUUAACACUACUGCUCUCUUAAAGCUUGGAUGGCUUAUUAUUACUACUGAUUCCCCUUGGAGUAUUUAUCUUCGGGAACGUUUCAAGCUACAUGGUCGCCUAUAUUCUUGUAGUUAUAAGCGAUCUUCUAUAUGGCCUGGUAUUAAAUCCAUUAUUCAUAUCUUGUUUCAGAAUUGUCGUUGGGUGAUUGGAAAUGGUUCUACUACUUCCCUUUGGGUUGAUAAAUGGCUGGAUAAGCCUAUUGUGGACGUCGUUGGUGCAACAGAGAUUGCUCCUUCUUUAUCUCGUACUAAGGUCUCAAAUAUUAUUCGUAUGGGAAAAUGGGUUAUUCCUUUUAUUUUUUCUUCUACUUUCCCAGACCUAACUAAAGAGAUUUUAGAAAUGCCUCUUCCAAUUGAUGAGGAUAAGGACGUUUUAAUUUGGGAAGUUUCUACUUCUGGUGUUUUUUCGUUCUCCGAUGGCUAUGAAAUUGUUCGUCAUCGGUUUCCUGUUAAGAGUUGGGCUUCCAUUAUCUGGCGUCCUUUCAUCCCACCUCGUUACUCUAUUUUAGUUUGGAAGAUUCUAUUCAACAAGCUCCCAACGGAUGAUCAACUUCAGCGCAGAGGCAUCCCGCUGGCUCCAAUAUGCCAACUAUGUCACAAGAAUUCUGAAUCUAUUGACCAUUUAUUUCUCUAGCUGUGAAUUUGCACAAUGUGCUUGGCGUUGGCUAGCUACCCAAUUUGGCACUAUUAUUCCACCUACGGGCUCCCUCUCUGAUUUAUGGCUUGUUUUUCUGUCAAAGCGGUUUUCUCCACAUCUUCGCAAUGUCUGGAUAGCUUCAGGGUUUUUCUUACUAAUGGCUAUUUGGAAGAUGCGUAAUAAAGUGAAGUUUGAAGGCAAACCUCCCUCAUUCUCACGUCUCUGCCGCUCCACCUUGGCCUGGAUUAGGCAGGUUGGAGCUCUCACCCCUGGCCAUGUACGAGGCAUUUUGGAUAGGCAACUUUUAGUUUCUCUUGGAAUAUCGCCUAACUCCUGUAAAGCUCCUUCUAUUGUCCCUGUUCUUUGGCACCCCCCUCAUUUUUCUUGGGUUAAAGUGAAUACUGAUGGCCUUGCUAAAGGUAAUCCGGGUCCUGCGGCAUGUGGCGGGGUUUUUCGUGACUCUGCAGGUUAUUUUCUUGGUGGUUUCUCCCUAAGCUUGGGCCAUCGUACUUCUUUCUAUGCGGAGCUCCUUGCUGUCGAAUUGGCCCACGCGCGGGGCUGGCAAAAUUUAUGGCUUGAAAGCGACUCUUCUAGUGUAAUAUCAUGUUUUGCUUUUGGAUCUUUCUCUCCCCCUUGGUCUCUCCAGACACGCUAGAACAAUUGUACUCUCCAUUUGCAGAACAUGGGUUUUCGUUGCUCUCAUAUUUUUCGAGAAGGGAAUGUUGUUGCUGACAAAUUAGCCAAUUUAGGGCUUCUAUCAUCUUCACUUGUUUGGCAUUCCACUCCCCCUAUAGAGAUCCUUCCUCCUCUGCACUCAGAUUUCUUGGGCAUGCCAACCUACAGGUUUGUCUCCUCUUCUUGAUGUGUGUUCUCCUUUCUUUUCCUAACCUUUUUGGAUUCCCUUUUGUUUUGCAGCUUGUCUUGCAGGUUAUUACCUUUUAGGUUUAUAGAGGGGCUUGGGUUUAUGUCCGCCCAGUCUUUUCCUUGUAUUUUCUUUUCCAAGAGGGGUACGGUCUAUGUCCCCCCCUCUUUUGUAUUUCCUUUCUCAAAAGGGGUAAGGUGCAUGUCCCCCCCUUUUUUGUAUUUCCUUUCUCUUGUUCUAUGAGGGGUUAGGUUUAUGUCCCCCCCUGUCUAGGUGUAUCUUCUUUUUUCUUAUCAAUAAAUUUCCCUCGUACCGCCGAGGUUCUCCGAAAAAAAAAAAAAAAAAAAAAAAAACUAGGAAACCACAAUGACUAGCGGAUGAAAUUAUAGCUUUCUUACCAAUUAUCAUGUUAAACUUUUGGUAUGAAAAAUUUAUUGUCAUUAUCUUUAUCAUGCCAAACUUUUGGUAUACUAAAUUUCGAUACGUCAAAUAGUUCGGUUGGCAUGGUAGGGUAAUGACGAUGUUAUUCUUAUUAGCCCAAAAUGUCUUUUCCGUUGAUGACACUUAAAUCAAACUUGAACUUGAUUCCCUUAUGCCCUUUGGUAAAAAAUAUCGCCACUUUACACUCUGAAACUCGAUUUUUGUAUAACUUUGGCAGUAUUCCGUCCAUUCCAUCAAAAUAACGUUAAGUAUGGUGACAUGUAAGAGUAUUACAGUAAUUUUGGCUGUUAGAACGGACCAUCAGAAGCCCACCCAUGAAUUAAAACUACAAAUUAAGAACUAGCUAGCAUAUGAAAUUUGAUUUUCUUAUUGAGAUCUGCAACAAGUUUGCUAGGUCUCCUCCACCAUCUUAUUGGGCUUUAGCAUAUGAACAAACCCAUCAGCUACUAGAGUUUCCUCCUACUUGUUUCUGAUAUGCCUUUUUAUCUUGCGAUACUCAUUCAGAAUGCUAAACACAGACUUAAACCGGCAAGUCUCAGAACAUGAAAUUGCAACACAAAGAGUUUCGUUACUUCACGACCUCGACAGGAACAAGAACACAAAACCAGAUAUUACAGGCUCUUUGAUUCCAAAUCAAACAAUUUCGAGGAUGACAAACUAUCGAUCAACUACUAAGCUAGUCUAUUUGGUUUCUCAUGGUCUUGUCUCGAUGAUUCUUCACUUGUUAGAGAUAGGACAGAGCUUGGAUAUAAAGCAUGAAGAAGACAAUGAUUUGUGAUCUCAUGGGAAAACCGACUAGUAUCCUAAAUCAAGAAAAAAUAUCUCGUCGUUUAGCAUUAAUACGAAAUCAUCUCAUCAUCACACGUUCAUUUAGCGUAAUCUAACAAUAAUUACUUAGUAAUGUAAUUUACACUAAAAUUUACAAACAAAUCGGCAGUCUUGAACUAUCAUCUUUACAGAAUGAUGAUUUGAGCAUAGGUCAUUACUUCCUUUAGCUUUUCAUGGACUAAUGCCCUGCCUUUUUCUUUCCAAAGUGAAUUUGAUUCAUAAUACAAAGCCUCCACCCACACUCCAGCACCAUCAUAGUAUUUUCCGUAGGGAUCGAUUACCAUUUUCUCGAGCAUCAUUGCAUUUCUCAGGAUACAAAUGGCAAGCUCGAUCUCACAUGGUGUAUAUUGAAAUCCUUGGAACUUAACUUCUCUCAGAUGACAAUGUUUGAUUCCAGCAAAGUUCUCUAUGUCCUGUUGUUCCUUACGGAAAGGCGAUACUUCCUGCAAAAACAGAGAAUUUAUGUAGUUAUACAUAGAGGGUUUAGGGACAAAUAUUUGGCAUACAACGUAAACUUUUUUAUUACUAACCGUUACUACAAGUUCUUCCAAAAGGGGUGCAGCAUUCAGAAAUUUCAGAACCCACACGAGGUCAGGUUCAUUCGAAAAAAUAUCCAACUCCAGUUUCUUGAGGCUUCUGAAUGUUGGUACCUCCCAAACUCUAAAAGCAGCACACGUCUGCAGAUGAAGAGUCUCAAGCCCAGGAAACCACGCAAAUUGAUACAUCCAGUGCCACGAACGAAAACAAAUUUUUUUUGGCCGUGGAGGUUUGAUGGCAACAAAUCUACUUGAAACAGUUCUAAGGAAGCAAGAUUUACUAGAGAAAUAUAAACUGUUUUUAGAUACUUGCAGUUUACCAGUUUCAAAUCAUUCAGUCGAUGUGAUGGACUCUCAAUAAUUAAAUCUUGGCCCAACUUGCAACUCUUUAAGGUCAAGCUUUCAAGCAACAAACAGUCGGAGAGAAGACGUGCCACAGGAAUUUCGUCUGCAAUUCUACACAGAUACAGACUAGUUAGCUGAUUGAAUCCGUCGAAACCAGGUGGUAGUCUUAGAACACAUCUAGCCAUGGACAAAUUCUUUAGAGUUGAUGCUGCCUUCAACUCUGAAAGCAACCAGCACGGGAAAACAUAAUAAUUAUAUGUAUGUUCCCUGUCCGAGCACCUAUAUAAAUGAAGAUGAAUCACUUCAACUCCCUUUGUAAUUGCAAAACGAAUCCAUUCAUUGAGGAAGGCAGCAGAAAAUCUGUCCAGAAAGAAUUCCACUUUGAAAGAGUCCAACUUCUUGCCGUGGUGUAGCUGCAAAACUUUAUUCACACAUCUUACGAAGCUUUCUCUUUGAUAAUAUACAUUUAUCAAGGAUGGACGACAAUCGUUAAAUCCAUCUUCAGGCAGUUUAUCCAUUCGUUCAGGAAGUCCGACUCCGAAAAUGUUUGGGACGUCAAACGUAAGAUUGGCCCUUGUUAGUAUGGGACGCAACGUCCCAAGGUACCUCCACCAACGGCAUACCAAGCUACUAGUAUCCACUGCAUCUUUUAUGGUUAACAAUGAAAAUACAGAUGACAGUAUGCAAUCCGGCAACUCAUUGAUAGAGAAUAGAGACAGUACAAAUACGAUAGAGACAGUACAAAUUUUCUGUUAUAUAUAUAUAUAUAUACAUACAUCUGUCUAAUAUGUAGGUAGGGCAGGCAAUCAUCUGAUGCUCUCUCUUGAGCGCAAAAGAAAAAUAAUAAAACAAAAGCUUAAAAGAAACAGAACUUACAGUUACAGUUAGUUCUAGGGUUGGGCACGAGUCGGUUCGGUCGCGUUCCACCGCAGCAGAACCGUCAGUCUGACGGACCACCACUGCAUGGUUUGGUUUGGUUUGGUCCAGCAGCAGUUUAACAGGUGCAAAGAAGGAUCGGAACCAAAAUGUAAACCUUGCAAAUAUUCUACUUAUAACCAUCGGCCUAGAGAAUUGCUCAGCCUAAACAAAGUAUUUCACAAUUCUACACAACUCCAAGACAUUUAUUUUUCCCCAUAAGUAGGCAUUUAUAGAGAACCAAAAUACUAGUUUUCUUUUUUGUCAACAAAAUACAAGCCUAGCUGAAUAAAAAAACUAAAUCAAAUAAGUAAACCUAAUUCUUGUAGAACAAGGAAACCUAUAUAUAUAUUAUAUCUUAGAAGUAAAAUACAAUUCCCAAACUUUACCAAUCUCGAUUACUUUCCUUUUUUUUAAUUAUCCAACUUAUAUAUGGAGAGUGUGUGAUUAGCAGACCAAUCACGAAGUGGUGAGGUCUAACAUUAUAUAAACCGACGAGAGAAUAUUUACUCACCACCAUAACUAUGAUGUAUGUUUACCAUACGCCUAAUUAUCUGCCACGUGUCAUUUUACUUAGCUCUAGUUAUCUUUCACAUUAGAUAUUUACCUUUUCAAUUUUGAAAAAAAAUAAACCAAAAUUAAGUGAAAAGACACGUGACAAAUGAUUAGGUGUAUGAUGGGGAUACACCAUAGUUAUGAUGGUGAGCAAAAAUGCUCCUAUAAACUAAUAACCGUAACUAGUGGUUUCCUUAUAGGUAAUGCUAGAGACACUAAACGUUUAAACUAAAUUUGCAAACUAAAUAAUGUGUCACCAAUAAGAAAUAAGCACGUUAAUCAACACUUAAGUAAUAAUUCAAUAAUCAACAACUACAAUUCAUUUAGUUUACAAAUUUUAGUUUAAAAUUUUAGCCUCCCAUUACUCUUUUCUUAUUAUUUACCAAUCAUGCUAGUGAAAAUAAAUUUGUAGACAAAAUUUGCAAACUAAAUGAUGUUUACAAAUAUAAAAUGAACACGUUUAUCAACACUUAGUAAUAAUCCAAUAAUCAACUUAUAUAAUUCAAUUUACAAAAUUUUAUCUACAAAUUUAAUCCUUGACAUUACACUUACCCUCGUAUCUCUUUUGUUAAAUAUAUAUCCAACUAUUUAAUCAAUUUUCUGCAUAAUUUUGGUAGCGGCUAAGAGAAAAUGUAAUUAGACCACAAUUUCACACCACAUGAUGCGGCGGCUGGGGUUGCUAUGCCACAUCAUAUUACCAAUUAUUUAGACUCCCGUUGCAAUGUCAUCAGCUGGUUCUAUUUUUUAAGGUAACAAAAUAUUAUAGCACAAUUUAGAUGAUGAUCCGAAGAAAUAAAGAUAGUCAAAACAUGGAUGAAGUUCCCACAGAAAGAAAAACAAAAGAUGUCAAACCGGCUAUAACAAAACAAAACUCAUGUUUCCCUCACAACAUAUUGCAACAUCCCUUUCAACUAAAUCAAAUUGGAACCUAAAAUUAUAGAAUUUGGUAGUGCCCGCGCGGUUCUAAGAAAUCCGUAGCUC